GACAAGUCUGGUCCAUCCAUUGUCCACAAGAAGUGCUUCUAAGGUGCUGCUGCUAUUUUUACAUCUGUUCGCAAGUUCUUUUUUAUUUUUUUGUUCUUCCCGCUAAAGCUAUUAUGUCGUCCACAGUGAACGCAUGUCUGCUGCUAUAGCCAAGUCUUUGAGAUGGGGUUAUCAAAGAAGGGCAAUUAAAAACAUUGUACCGCUGAUACUAUUUCAUGUUUCUAGUGCAAGCCUCUUUUAUAAGUUGACAAACUCGAUUUGUAAAUAUGUUUGGGACUCAACUAGUGGUUAGAGUUCUGAUUUUAUAAGAUUUGUGUACAGAAAAUCAAAGUAGAAAGAUAACUCGUGAUGGUUGAAUAAGCUCGAAGAAGUGGAUUUGAAUUUCAAAUCGUGUCUUUUUUUUUUAUGUGUGUGAGAUGUUUGAAGUGUUGUUUAGAUUUGUUGGAAUAGUCUAAAGAGAUUGUCUCUAUAAAAUUUGAAGACAUUUGAUGGAGAUCUGAUUAGAUGAUUUUGAACAACAAUUGCAACUGAAGAUGGAUAUGUAUAUUAUAUUUGUAGUUAGCAACGUGUUGUAUAUUUUUAUAGUCGAUAUAUUGUUUUCUCAUUCGGUGUUUGGUAUCCAUAUUGGAGUUUGACUAAAUUCGGAUUUCCUCAUUUCAACGGGCGGUGCUCUUGACAUGAUUUUUUCCAUUCCACGGCUCAUGCUCCAAAAUUCUAAUUAAGGAUAGAAAAAUCUCAACUAUCUCACCACAACUCAUAUCAGUUAUAUUGGGUAUACAAGUGUAAACUAAUAAUACUAUGAAACUAAUAAUAUUUAAUUUAUUUUAGAGGUAAGAUAAGGACAAAAUGGUAAUCCAACUUAGAGGUUAGGAGCUUCACACUUGUAAUAAUACUAAUAUAAUAUAUGGGCACGUGUGUUCCCAGUUACUUUUUAUAUAUAGAUACGUUAGAAUGAUUACAAUUUUAUGAAAGAAUGCGUGUAAUUAGUAAUAAAAUACAACAAUUACAAAUUAAUCUUUAAGAGUUUGACAAGAAACACCAAAUGAGAGGUGAAUUUUAAUGUUUAAAAUUAAUUAAGCAACCAACAUAAAUUUUGAACUAUAAUUGGUAGUUAGCAAACUUCCAAUAAAAUCACAAAGGGCUAAUUUGAGCUCAACAAAGAUAUACACACUUACUACAAUAAGAAAUUAAUAGAAAAUUAAAUUAAAGAAGUUUAAUGGAAGAGAAAACACACAAAAAGAUAGAGAAGGAAAAAAUACAACAUACACAUUUUUUUUAAGACUUAUAUCAUAACAAUAUAGAUGGAAAAAGAAGUACAAUACAUAAUUUUCAAGUUCUUGUGGAGGCUUAAUUAUCCAUAACCAAUCAAAAUUCAAAAGUCAUCUUCGUCGAGUCAAACUAAAACAUGAGCCAAAUAGUACAAUAAUGAUAUAAGUCGUUACUUUAACUAUAGAAUGAAAAUGAUAAUAUUCUUGAGUAGGGGUCUCAUGAAACAAAAAAAAAAUGAAUUUAUAUAGAUAAAAAUUAAGGAAUACCAAAAGAUAAGUUUUAAAUUAAAUGUUUGAAGGUUAUAUGGUGUUUUUUGGUCUGCACCUAAUUCAAUAAAGGAAUAGAAAAAGUCACUAAAGUGGCUGCUAGUGUUCUCUAUGUAUGUAUCAGUUAUAAUUUUCAUCAAAUAGAUGAAUGCCAUCUUGCAUUUAAUUAAUCAAGUGAAGUUAAUGUAUUGAAUUAAUCAUCUUUUUUUACUUCAUUGUGUAAAGUAUUUAAAUUGAAACUGACUUAGCACCUUCCCAUUUUUAGGAUUUAGUAUAUAAUAGGAUAUAAUUACUACUACAAUAUUUAAUUAAUUAAAUAAUCUUUUUUAUAAUUUUUAUUUAAUAUAUAGGGGUAAAACGGUAAUUCAACUUUGAACAUAAAUUCUUUCCAUUUUUAAUAAUACUAGUUUUUGUGAACGUGUGUUGCACGUUUAAUUUGUCCCUUGUAAUUACUACAAGAUUUCUAUAUAAUUUUUUUAAAAAAUAAAUAAAUUUCAUAAUAGAAAAUAUGCAUGUAUUUCACGCUACUUAGUAUUAAUAUUUGUAAAUGAUUUAAAUACAAUUACAAUAUGUAUAAAUAGUUAUUCAUAAAAUUAAGUAAUCAAAAAGAGAAGGAGUCUAAACACCAAAUUAAAGCUUAACAUCAAAUGGACAAUCUGACAAUCAUAUCAAAUAGUUUUAAGAAAUUGUAUCAUUUUGAUACGUAAAUUUCACAUGAGUUAUUAGUUGUGAAGAUGUCAUAUAAUGUUUGAAGAUAAUAUAUAAAAAUUUAUCAAUAUCCAUUACAUUAUUAUAGCAUCACAAUAAAUUAUACAACUUCAGAUGUACAUUAUGUUCAUCCCACAAAUAUUCGAAAAUAAGAUGAAAUAGAGUAGACUAAAAACAAUGAAAUAGCUAAUGAAUUCUAAAACCUUCAAAUAACAAAAAUUAAAGAGAGAAACCGUUCCAGUUUAAAAGAAUGGAGGAACUUCCUCAAUAACUAACAAAAGCAUAAAUAGAUUUACCUCUUUUUUAUUGCAUAUGUGAUGAGCAAUAACAUCCAUCAACAAUUAUACAUUAGAAUAACUACGUGUGUGCAUUAACAUAAAGUGAUAGUGAUGAGCAAUAUAAUUACAUCCACCAAUAAUCAUCCAUCAACAAUUAUACAUCGGAAUAACAAAGUGUAUGCAUUAAUAUAAAGUGAUUUUGAAAACAAUUUUUUGGUACGUAUAAUUAUAAGUCAUGAAUUAUAAAAGUCAUUUAAAAAUUGAUGAUAUACAUAACAUCUAUGAGAAUUAGAUUGGUUAAAGUUGGGAUAUGUAAAGUUUCUAACUAAAAUUUAAUUAUGUGUGUCAUAUUAAGAUGUCUGGUAAUUCAAAGGACAUUUUGUUGUUUAAUGUUCAAGGAUAUUUCAGUUUUUAAAGGAUAUAAAUAUUUUUGACCAUUGCCUCAGUGAGGUCGAGGAAGCAUCUUCAGAUCAGGAUGAAAUCUUUAUAUUUGCAUUCAAACAUUGUAAAAGAAAUCUAGUAUAGGUAGGAAUUGAGAUAAUUUGCUCCAGAAAGAACUCUUCUUGCAUUUUGUUUCCUUUGUUGCUCUGCAUAUGACCUUCAAUUUCAGUCAUUGUUUCAAAUUUUGUUUGCUCUGGUUCGACUCUGUGUUUAGUGUUUCUGAGUUUUUCUUCUCUUUUUUUUUUCAUCAGACUCUACUCUAUUUGUCGGCAAUCUUCUUUCUUUGUUUACCUGCUUUUGUUCUUGGGUGGAUCGAAUAUAAACAUUUGUGUACAUCUUUGGCUCUUCUUUGUUUGAUUCACUUUCUUCAAUUAGAUCAGAAAAUAUUUCUCUGAAGGCAUGUUGAUUUUAUUAUUUUACACGAUUUCUGUUUGUGUUACUUUUUCGAUUUCUAAUUUGUUUUAUUCAUGUUUUUUACAGUUUAAUUUUUGAUGCUUCCGAGUUUCAGCAGUCCUGAUUCCUGAUGUUUUCUGGGUGAGCAUGGUUCUCUCCUUUUUCAAGUUAACAACUUAUUUUAUAUUACUUUUGCUGAGAUUGAUUGUGAGUUGCAAGUUUCGCAAUGCAAUUUUUGUAUUAUGAAUCCUUGAUGGACUAUGGUGAAAAUUUACUUUUCUUUGUAGAAAAAACAUCAAAGAAUUAUACUACUAUACAAAUCAGGUUUGUUAAUAUUGAUACUGCUGAUGUUAAUAAUCACUUGGCUAUUGUGAAAUAUGUUGAGGAUAUUUACAAAUUUUAUAAGCUCACAAAGGUCUGGUGAAUAUCAGAUGUCUCUGUUUCAAUGCUGGGGUGAUUUUACUGUUAUAGUGGAUACGGUGAGUUACUUUAAUGUGACAAACAAUAGUUUUGUGAUUUUAUUGUGUAGUGUAUAAAAUUCAUGUUAUUUUGAUAAUUUGGCUGAUUCAGGAUGAACGUUGAUUGUAUUAUUACAUGGAUUCACAACCACACAUCAACGCCAGGGUCAAAGCUAGCAAUUUUUCUGGAAGGUUGAACUACUUGAAAAACAUGAAAGCUACAUUACUUCACACAGUUGCGAGAUGAAGAGAAACUUUUUAGGAUCUAUUGUCAAUAUUUUUAGCAUUGUUAGUACUGUAACUCUCAACUAAAAGCUGGACAAAGUUACAAUUUUCAUCAAAAAUCGGUAAUGGCAGAGGGGCGUUUCUUUGGUUAUUGCUCAAAACUACAACUGCUAGUGAUUAUUUCUCAUGUAGUGAUUUUUUUAUGGAAUCAAUGUGUUAUCAAAACAUUUACGUUUAGUUAUGUUAUAACACAAACAGUUGAGGAUUGCACAACCUUACUACUAAAUGUUCAGAAAUAGACUUCUUUCUUGAAGGAGGAUUGCCAUUCAAUUGACGACUUGUGAUCAUCAAUUGCGAGAAGCUGGUGAGUGGCCGAAACGAUUGGCAUCUCAAAGAGUUUAUAUGUGAUCUAGCAGAACACAAUAGAUUGGGAGGGGGUGGAGACAGGUUUUUCUGAUUAAAUUUGGCACUAGUACUCGAUUUCUUGAGUUUUUGCUUCAGUAAAAGGGAAAAAAGGCUAUUUCUUAGUCUGUAUUUUGUAGUUUUAGCAAACAAGCAUAUUGCUAACUGGUGUCAAUAAACCAAGAGUGUAUUGUACCUUUUUCAGGACAAUUAUGUUAUAUUAUAUGUUGGAUGUUUAUUUGUUAUUUCAUUUCCAUAAAACGGUGGAUCGUUGAUUUCAGUUCAUUCAUUGGGACAGAGUUGUACAUGGACCUAAAUAGGGACCUUACCACUAUCUUGUAGGGUAGAGAGGUUGUUUCCGAUAGACCAUCGGCUCAAGUAAACAUAGAAAAAAUAAUACCUUAGAGAAAAGGAAAAUGGAACAGAAUCCAAUUCUAAAACGUAUUCAUGAUAUGUUAGACCCAAUUAAGCACUACAAUGAGCUGUUGAAAAAUGAACAGUGCAUAAAGCAAAAGUAGUGAAUAAACAUAAAGCAAAAGAUAUCUUCCUCCAUUAUUCAAUUAGUGGAGUCAUACUUUUUGAAAAGAGAAAAGAGGACAGUUUUGCUUCUUGUAGAUUAGCUGAAACAUAGUUGUACUAAUUUCAAGCAAUCACUGAUCAUUCUUGUUUGCAAAUUACUCUCAACAUUCAACAGGUAAAGAAGUUCUCUCUUAGUAGUUGAAGCUAGAUAGAAAAAUUUGUCUUCUCAUCAAAAUCAUUUUGUGUUUUUCAGAAAUGGAGAUUGGCUUAGCAGUUGGUAGUGCAUUUCUCUCUUCAGCUUUGAAUGCUCUCUUUGAUAGGCUUGCUCCUCACGGUGAUCUGCUCAACAUGUUUCAGAAGCAUAAGCAUCAUGUUCGGCUCUUAAAGAAGCUGAAAAUGACUUUGCGUGGUCUUCAGAUUGUGCUAAGUGAUGCAGAGAAUAAGCAAGCAUCAAAUCCAUCUGUGAGUGACUGGCUUAAUGAGCUUCGAGAUGCUGUCGACUCUGCUGAAAACUUAAUAGAAGAAGUCAAUUAUGAAGCUUUGAGACUUAAGGUGGAAGGUCAACAUCAGAAUUUUGCAGAAACAAGCAACCAGCAGGUAAGUGACCUCAAUCUGCGCUUGAGCGAUGAAUUUUUCCAUAACAUAAAGGACAAGUUGGAAGACACUAUUGAAACAUUAAAGGAUUUGCAAGAGCAAAUUGGUCUCCUUGGCUUAAAGGAGUAUUUUGGUUCCACGAAACAAGAAACUAGAAGACCUUCAACUUCUGUGGAUGAUGAAUCUGAUAUCUUUGGUAGGCAGAGCGAAAUAGAGGAUUUGAUUGACCGUUUAUUGUCUGAAGAUGCAAGUGGGAAAAAGCUGACAGUAAUUCCUAUUGUGGGAAUGGGUGGCCUGGGUAAGACAACACUUGCUAAAGCCGUUUACAAUGAUGAGAGGGUGAAGAACCACUUUGGUUUGAAAGCUUGGUAUUGUGUUUCUGAGGGAUAUGAUGCUUUGAGAAUAACGAAAGGGUUACUUCAAAAAAUUGGCAAAUUUGACUCAAAGGAUGUCCACAACAAUCUUAAUCAGCUUCAAGUCAAAUUGAAGGACAGCUUGAAGGGAAAGAAGUUCCUUACUGUUUUGGAUGAUGUGUGGAAUGACAACUACAACGAGUACAUCAGAAUUUUGCAGAAACAAGCAACAAGCAAGUGACCUCAACCUUUGCUUGACUGAUGAAUUUUUCCUUAACAUAAAGGACAAGUUGGAAGACACUAUUGAAACAUUAAAGGAUUUGCAAGAGCAAAUUGGUCUCCUUGGCUUAAAGGAGUAUUUUGGUUCCACGAAACAAGAAACUAGAAGACCUUCAACUUCUGUGGAUGAUGAAUCUGAUAUCUUUGGUAGGCAGAGCGAAAUAGAGGAUUUGAUUGACCGUUUAUUGUCUGAAGAUGCAAGUGGGAAAAAGCUGACAGUAAUUCCUAUUGUGGGAAUGGGUGGCCUGGGUAAGACAACACUUGCUAAAGCCGUUUACAAUGAUGAGAGGGUGAAGAACCACUUUGGUUUGAAAGCUUGGUAUUGUGUUUCUGAGGGAUAUGAUGCUUUGAGAAUAACGAAAGGGUUACUUCAAAAAAUUGGCAAAUUUGACUCAAAGGAUGUCCACAACAAUCUUAAUCAGCUUCAAGUCAAAUUGAAGGACAGCUUGAAGGGAAAGAAGUUCCUUACUGUUUUGGAUGAUGUGUGGAAUGACAACUACAACGAGUGGGAUGACUUGAGAAAUAUAUUUGUGUACAAGGAGAUAUAGGAAGUAAGAUCAAGAUCAUUGUGACGACACGCAAAGCGAGUGUUGCCUUGAUGAUGGGAAAUGAGCAAAUUAGCAUGGACAGUUUGUCUAAUGAAGCCUCUUGGUCUUUAUUUAAAAGACAUGCAUUUGAAAACAUGGAUCCUAUGGGACAUCUGGAACUUGAAGAGGUCGGAAAACAAAUUGCAGCUAAGUGCAAAGGACUGCCCUUAGCUCUGAAGACGCUCGCUGGCAUGUUACGCUCCAAAUCAGAGGUUGUAGAGUGGAAACGUAUUCUGAGAAGUGAAAUAUGGGAGCUGCGAGACAAGGACAUAUUACCAGCGUUGAUGUUGAGCUACAAUGAUCUUCCCGCACAUUUAAAGCGAUGUUUUUCCUAUUGUGCAAUAUUUCCUAAAGAUUAUUCAUUUAGGAAAGAGCAAGUUAUUCAUCUUUGGAUUGCCAAUGGUCUCGUACCAAAGGAAGAUGAAAUAAUUGAAGAUUCAGGCAACCAAUACUUUCUCGAAUUGAGGUCAAGAUCAUUAUUCGAAAGGGUCCCAAAUCCUUUUGAAGGGAACAUAGAGAAAUUCUUAAUGCAUGACCUUGUCAAUGACUUAGCCCAAAUUGCAUCUUCAAAACUUUGUAUCAGGUUGGAAGAGAGCCAAGGAUCUCAUAUGUUGGAAAAAAGUCGGCACUUAUCUUAUUCAAUGGGAAAAGGUGGUGAGUUUGAGAAAUUAACACCCCUCUACAAAUUGGAGCAGCUGAGGACAUUGCUUCCGAUAUUUUUUGAUGUCAAUCAUGACUCUCUAAGCAAGAGGGUGCAGCAUAACAUACUGCCAAGACUAAGAUCCUUAAGGGCAUUAUCAUUGUCUCAUUACAGGAUUAAGGAGUUGCCGGAUGACUUGUUUAUCAAAUUAAAGCUCCUGAGAUUUUUGGAUAUUUCUAAGACAGAGAUUAAUAAGUUGCCAGAUUCCAUUUGUGGAUUGUAUAAUUUAAAGACACUUCUCCUGUCAUCUUGUGAUUAUCUUGAGGAGCUACCACUGCAGAUGGAGAAGUUGAUCAACUUGAGUCAUCUUGACAUAAGCAACACUUCUCGCUUGAAGAUGACACUACAUCUGAGCAAGUUGAAAAGCCUCCAAGUGCUAGUGGGAGCCAAGUUUCUUCUAGAUGGUUGCUCACACCAUUACUAGAAUUUGACGAGGGAGAAUACUGGCCAAAUAUUGCUCAAAUUCCCACCAUUGUGAUUGAUCGGGAGUUCCUAUGAUGAUUAAAACAAAUGGCUCUCCAACUGAUGUAAGUUAUUCUUUUCCUUUUUUAAAAAUCUUGUUGAGCAGUCUAUUGCUCAAACCACGGCUACUGACCAAAAAUUGUUCAUAUUUUUUUUUUCUAUUUAGAAACGGGAGUUUGGAAGGAUUCACAAUGGCAAGCCUGAUUCCUGAAGUUUUCUAGGUGAGCAUGGUUGUCUCCUUUUCAAGUUAACAACUUAUUUAUAUUAAUUUUGCUGCUAUUGAUUGUCAGUUGCAAGUUUCGCAAUUCAAUUUAUGUGUUACUACAUCUGGGAACGUGCGUUGCACGUUUAUCCCAAAAUACUUUAUAUAAAUUUUGUAUUGCAAAUAACAUAUUCUAUCCCCUCUAAAUCUAUAGUAUUUACUAAAAAAAAAUUCAUCACAUAUAUCUUUAUAAAUAUAUAUAUAUAUAUAUGAUUAUUAAAUUGACUAAAAGUGUAUAGAGUAAAAAUAACUUCCAAGUAAUAGUCAUCAGUUAGAUGAGAUAAUAGAUGUAGAUAGAGAUAUAGAAAUAUUCAAGCAAAAUAAAUUAAAAUUAUUAAAUCCACAAGUUCUAUAUAAUACAGGACUAUUUUCGUCAAUAGCACACUUAUACAGACAUUAUAGAGAAGAACAAUUGAGUGUAUCAGAAAACGAUAGUGAAAGUAUAAAUUUAAUUAGUAAAUAAUCUAUGCAAGAAAUACAAAAAAGACGAAUGAAUCUCAUGCAUAUGAGAUUGGUAGUAAUCGGACUUAAAGGUUUAACUAGAAAAAAUUUAGGUACUAAAGUAUUAAUCACUUUAUAUGAUAGUAGAUGGUCAGAAUCUAAAAGAUCCAUAAUAGGUUUAACAGAAGUCGACAUGAGUAAUAAUGGAGGAAUUUUUUACUGUAGUCCAGAUUUCAUGAUAAAUUCAAAAGAAUUUGGAAAAUACAUAAAAAUAGGCAUACAAACCAAGGGUUACGAAGAAAUGAACUGUGGAAACAAUCUAUUAGUUUGUGUUGGCUUCAUAGGAAAAUUAGCAACCAACAGUAGUUCAAGGUUUAAAAUAAAAAUAGACAAUGCGGUAGGCAUAAUGGGAAAUAAAGGAAUAAAAUUAAUGAAACUUUUAAAAAUAAAUUCAGAAGAAUAUGCAGGUAGAGAAUGGAAUUUAGAAAAAUUCUAUAAAAAAGAAGUGUUAAGACCAAAUGACCACCUCACAUACACAAAUAAUAAAGGUGAGACAUCAAUCAGAUUCACUGAUUAUAAAUAUACAAAUCAAAAGAAAUAGAUGAAGAUUUAGAAGAUAAUGAAUCAACCAUAAAUAUGGAAGGAAUGAAUGUUCAGAUCAAUAAAGAAGAAGACUAUGAAGUAGAUAUAUCAAUAGCAAAAGCUAAAGAAAUACACAAGUCAAAUAAAGAAAAUUUAUUUAAAUGUAAAGGAUGUAAACUAGGAAAACUAAAAUUUUCUAUAGUAGAAAAACACUUCAAAGAGUGUAAUUUUAGAACAGACAAUUAUGGAUUUCGCCAGAAAGAAAAAACACAGGAAGAAAGUGAUGAUGAAACAACACGUAGUUUAAAAGAAUUAGAUGAAAGCGAUGAUGAAACAACACGCAGUUUAAAAGAAUUUAUGGAAACCGCUUCUUCAAGCUCAAGUCCCUUCCAAAAGACAACCCCAAUACCACCAAUAGAAUAUACUAUAGGUAAUUUACCACAACACCGUGUAUUUAGACAAGACCCGAUGACAGAACCAGAAAUGGUUAGACCUAUAGGAAUAAUAAUGCCAAUAGAAGCCCCCAUCAAACUCCAAGACAGGGGAGAUAGAUGAAAAAUACUAAAUAUAUCGGCUCAUGACCCUCAAUUAUGGAACUCAGUACUAGAUGUAUGGAAAGGAGUAGUAGUAGCAGACAACAUACACCAUUAUAGUGAAACAGAUGCAGAAACUAUGUAUAGAUACAUGGAAACCUUUCUAGGAGAAUCAAUCAAAGGAGUAUGGGAAGAAUAUAAGGUAGCUUACCCUCAAGAAUUCCAAGAACUAGUAAAUAUAGGACCAAACUCGUAUAAUUUUACUAAUAAAAUACACAGCCUGAUAACAGGAGAAGACCCAAAUAGCGGAUUAGUAGUGUUACAAAAGAAUGCACUAAUAAAAUUAGAACAACUUAGCAAAACAAAUUGGAGUCAUAUAAAGAAUUUUUUAAAAGACUAUUUUUACUAUUGCGCUAUAAGCGGUAAUGCGUUUGACCAAAGCUUGGGGAAAAAACUUUUUAACAAACUCCCUGGAGCCUUAGGAAGAGAAAUAGAGGAAAGAUGGAACAAAAGAGAGGGAGUAAUGACAAAACCCAAAUGCCAACUGGUCUAUAGGACAUAAAAUACAACAUGUCAUGGAAAUAUUACAAGAGAAAUGUACAAAUAUACAAAUACAAAAAUAAUUAAAACAAAAUGAGACUAGUUUUUGUAAGAAUAUAUAUACAACACAAAGCUAUGAUCAAAGUACACCAAAAAGAAAAUACAGAAAGACAUAUCAAAAUAACCAAGACUACAAACCUAGGAAAAGGUAUUAUCUAAGAAAAUCUACGGCAAAAAAACCUUACCUAAAUAAAGAUAGACAUGUAAGAAAACAAUAAUAAUAAUAAUAGAAUUUACAAAAAUAAGACUAUCUUGUUUUACUAUGUGGAAGUGAAGAACAUCUAGCUAAUACUUGUCCAGGUAGAAAUAAUAGUAGAACAAGAAAUGCCCAACUUAUAGAAGACUUCCAAGAAACCCUGAUAAAUGUAGAUGAAUACAAGUCAGAUAAUGAGAGCAUAUAUUUAGUAAUAAGCAUAGAUGCUAUAGAAGGAAGACAACAAGAUUCGUCUGAUUCAGAAGAAGAAACUUUAAUAAACGAGAUAGGAUUAGAAAAAUUAGACUUAAACAUGAAAGAUUUUACCUUUGUUAAUAUACAAUGCGAUCACCAAUUCUCCAAAGCAAAAGGGUUAGAUAGUCAAAAAUGCUUUAAUUGCACAUGAUACCCCAGUAAAGACAGAAGAGCUAAAUGUAUGAACUGCUAUGUAGAGGGAUGCCUUAUGUGCAUCGACAUGAUAUUUAACAUAAAAGUUAUAGACCAAACAAGAAGUACAAAAGAAAAAACAUUAAUAUCUUUAGAAAAAAGGAUUGAUAAUUUAGAGGACAGAAUAAGUAAAUUAGAAAAGGGAAAAGAAAAAUUAGAAGAGGGAACCAACCAAAACACAACGCCAAAAGAGGAAAUCGAGCUCUUAAAUGAAAAGGAGGACUAUAAAUCAUUUGAGGGAUUAAUUUGUAAUGAAGACAAGAAAAUUAAUACUAUCAAAAUAUUAACAAGAAUAAGAAUUCAAGACUACGAAAUAGAAACUUUAGCUCUAGUAGACUCUGGAUGUAAAAGUAUAAUAGAUAGAAGUAUCCUGCCUCUAGAUAUAAUAAAAUAAUUUCCAGAGCCACAAAGCGCCAUGCAAAUGGAUGGAUCUUCAAAUGUAUAUAAACAUUAUGUUAGUAAUGCUCAAAUAAGUUUUUUAAAUACAUGUGAAAACUUUUAUAAACACAUGUAUAGAUUAGAAAAAAUAUGGGUUAGAGACUUAAAUAUUAUAGUAGACUUUGUUUUAGGUUUAGACUUCUUAUUACAUAACAACGGAUGUUGUCGCCUUACUAGAGACGGAGUAAUAUUCUCUAAAAAUAUGACUCAUACCUCAAUAACAACAGAAUCGUUUCCAACGAAAUCUAGGUAUCUUAAAAAUACUGAUAAACUUAAUACAAACACUUCAAAAUGUAAUAAAGGAGAAGAAUGUAAUUAUACUAAGAUACAUGUUAUUGAAGAAGAAAUUGAAUUAUUAGAGCUAAGUUUAUCUGAUAUACAACUAGAGAAAAGUUAUAACUUAAUAGAAAUAAAUACAGAAUUUUAUAAUUUCAAAAAAGGAUUACAACAUAUAGGAGUCAUAAAAAAUCAAAAAGACCUAGAGGAGGUAAUUUCCAUCUUAGAUAAAUUAGAGAUAAUUGGAGAAAGACCUUUAAAGCACUGGGAAGCCAAUCAUAUAACUUGCAGACUGGAUAUCAUUAACCCAGAAUAUACUGUUAAAACUGAUUCAAUAGAAUCCACAAAUGAAGACCUAAAGGAAUUUGAAGAUCAGAUAAAAGAAUUACUAAAUUAGGGAGUGAUAAGAAGAUCAACUUCAAGACAUAGGUCAUCAACAUUUGUGGUAAGAAAUCAUAAUGAAAUAUUAAGAGGAAAAGCUAGAAUGGUAAUAAACUAUAAAAGACUUAAUGACAAUACCAAAAUGGAUGGAUAUAAGUUGCCAGAAAGAUCAAAAUUAAUAAAUCGAAUGCAAGGAAGAAUUUUUUUUAGUAAGUUUGAUUGUAAAUUCGAAUACUGGCAAGUCAAAAUGUAUGAAGACAGUAUAGAAUAGAAAACUUUCACUUGCCCAGAAGGACAUUUCGAAUGGUUGGUAAUGCCCUUCGAUUUAAAAACAGCUCCUCCGAUCUUUCAGAGAAAGAUGGACAAUAUAUUUAGAGAUUAUAAAAAUUUUAUUUUAGUAUAUGUAGACGAUAUCUUAGUAUUUAGUAAUAAUGCCAACAAACAUCUAAGACAUUUACAAACGGUGUUUAAAUUAUUUGUAGACAAUGGAAUUAUAAUUAGCAAAAAGAAAAUGGAAUUAUGUAAAAAACUAACAGUGGUUUCUCCUCCAACAGUCAAGUAACUAGCACUGGUUAUUCCAGCAAGAGCUCUUACUCUAACAGAACUAGUACCGUCAACUCCAAUUGUAGCAGCAGGAAUGUCUUCACCACCAGAUAAAUCUUAUAAAAUUCCUAGGGGUAGAAAUUGGAAAUGGAAAGAUAAAAUUACAACCCCAUAUAGCAAAAAAGGUUCUCGACAUGCUUGAUAAAUUAGAUAAUACUAAAGACUUACAAAAAUUUCUAGGAAUAUUAAAUUAUGCACGAAGUUUUAUAAAAGACCUAGGAAAAGUAACAGGACCCUUAUAUUCUAAAACAGGAAUUCAUAGGCAGAAGACAUUCAAUAUGGAAGACAUAAAAUUAGUACAAAAGCUUAAACAAAUGGUUAAAAAUAUACCAGAUCUAGCCCUCCCACUAAAAACUGACUGCCCAAUAGUGGAAACCGACAAAAGUCUAGAAGGAUGGGGAGCAGAAUUAAAAACAAAGAACAAUAAAUAUAUAGAAAAGAAAGACGAAAAAAUUUACGCCUAUCACAGUGAAAAAUACAAGGAAAAAGGAAACAUGAGUAGCAUAGAUGCAGAAAUUCUAGUAGUCAUAUAUGGACUAAAUAGCUUUAAAUUAUUUAUUAUUAAUAAAAAAGAAAUUUUAGUAAGAACUGACUGCAAAGCUUUUGUAAAAUUCCACCAGAAAAUAGAAGGAAAAAAUAGUAGUAAGAGAAGAUGGCUAAAUUUUUUAGACGCUACAUCAAUAUACAAUAUAUUUUUAGAAUAUAUAAACGGAAAAGAUAAUUCCUUAGCAGAUCAACUAAGCAGACUCAUGAAAACUAAUUAUUUAUUUUCAGAAUGAGUACAUGUAAGAACAAAGACAAGGCAUCCAGUUCAAGUUCAAGUAAUAGUGGGCAAAAAGACAAAGAUAUAUACUUAUAGACAUUAUUGGGAAACACUUCGUUUAGACCACAUACAAGAGAAGAAGAUGCAAGGAUAAAUACUCCUAUAGAAAGACUAUACUUUGGAAGACAAAAUUUAAUAUUUUAUCCUCCAUCUAAUUUAAGUUUCAGAGUAAAGCCAGAAACAAAAAUAGAUAAACAUCAAAGAUGUUUGAUAGACAAUCUAUGGAUAGCAUAUAACAAAAUUUUGAAAGACAAUAGCUAUUUUAUUUCAGUAUUAAACUCAGUAAGUUAUUAUUUUACGGAGAAAAAUGAAGACAAAAAGUUUAAAUUCUACGUAGUAGUUCGAGGAAAGCUAGCAGGCAUCUUCCAGACUUGGAUCGAGGUGAUAGACUCAAUUAAAGACUUUCCUACCCCAUUUUUCAAAGGAUUCAACGAUUUAAAUAAAGCACUAGACUAUGCUAGAGGAACUCUUGGGCCAAAUUAUUUCAUAAGCCCAGCUUUAAGACAAACUUCAAGACCUUUCCUGCAAUACAAUAUUCGAAAGGAUACUGACAAGAUAAUCUUCUGCGAUCAUUGUUCUUCAAUGACUGAAGGAUUCAAAAUACUAAACCAGACAAUUGAGAAACUAGAGACUGAGAAAGGGGAACUGACACAACAUAUCCACUCAUUACAAGAAAAAAUAAGGUUCUUCCUUGGAAAUACUAAUCAAACCAUACCAUUACAAAUACAAGACUACUCAAAAGGACCAAAGAGUUCUCCAUCUCAUCUUAAAAUGGAUAAGACGGGUGUUCAUCCUCCAACGAAUGUAGAAAGAGCUAUUGUAUCAGCUAAAUGUACAACUAGUCCCGUUCAAAUGGUAGCGGGUAAAGAUUCAUCAAAUCCGUUGAUGGCUGACACUUUGCCAAAAAGUGUUAAAAACAAAUUUGAAAAUAUUUGUUAAAAACAAACUUAAUUUUUUUGAAAUUGGGGGGUGGGGGGUCGCGGGUAGGGAGUGGNNNNNNNNNNNNNNNNNNNNNNNNNNNNNNNNNNNNNNNNNNNNNNNNNNNNNNNNNNNNNNNNGGGGAGGGGGUCGAGGGUAGGGGUGGGGUGGGAUGAAAAAUAAAAAAUUUAAAUUGGAAAUAUUUUUUUAAAAAAAAUUAUUUUUUUUGUGGGGGGGAGGGGUAGGGGGUGAGGUAAAAAAAUUUAAAAUUGAAGGCUUUAAAUUUAUUUUUUUCAACAAAAAAAUAAUAAUUGUAAUUUGAAGUUGGAGAGAGUUUUGGAAAACGUUUUUCUUAAUUUUUUGAAAGUAAGUCAUUUUCCUUAAAUUUGAGAAAAAUGAGUUAAUUUGAAAAUCAUUCUCCAAAACGUUUUACCCAACCAAAUAUGAUAAAAUUGAAAUACAUUUUCCGAAAAUGUUUUCCUUCAUACCAAACACACCCAAUAUGAUGAAUCAAUGAUGGAUUAUGGUGAAAUUUACUUUUUUCAUAGAAAAAUAUCAAAGAAUUAUACUAUUCAUGUUUGAUAAAAUAUCCUUCAAUAAGACCUGGUGAAUAUCAUAUGUCUCUGUUUCGAUGCAUCUUAUAAAUCCUAUUGAAAUUCUGUGAGGUUGCUCGUGUCCUUUGGUUGGUGGGCUUAAUUUUUUGAACUGUGAAUGCAUCUUAACAUAAUUUUGAUUUUUGAUGGGUUCUCCAAAUCUAACAAUUUUAUUUGGGAUCCCUUUUUUUAGGGGGAAAGUCUCAAAUGGGAAAUAAAGUUGGCACUUUGAAGAUUUUGAAGCUAGAAUUUGUGAGCUCUCUCUUUGUCUACACAAAUUUCAAACGGCCUGUUAUAGCUUCAAGGUAAUCGUCUUCGGAAAUUUGAAUUCUUUUGGUUCUUAUUUUAAUCUUGCACAAAAGUGUAACAUUUACCCUUUGUUUGGAUCAUUGUUACCCAUUAUAUUGUAUCGUUACUAUACCUACAAUGUUUGUUUUGAUUAUUACUUAAAAUAUAUUGUAUUGUAUUGUUAAAUUUCGUUGUUACGUAACAAUGAAAACCUCUAUUUUAUGGAACAACCAAUUUGGUGUGUUCCCAAUUGUUACUUAAUUUCUUUUUCCAAUUAUAUCUUUUACAUAAUAUUUCAAAAUACUAUUUUAUCCUUUACCUUAUAUUAUUUAAUUCUAAUCAAACCUCCUACUCUACAUAUAUACAAAUGGCUUACAUAUACCAUUUUCCUCUAACAGAGAUGAAAAAAAUUAAUUUUAGUUUAAUUUUUUUUAAAAAAAAAAAAACUAUAAUCCCAUAUGAGUAUAUUUAAUCCUCCUCAAACAUAUAUUUUUUUUGUUUCAAUGACUAAUUUAAAUUUAUUAUUUUAAUGGUCAAAUUUAUUUAUGUUUCACUAAUAUUCUUGUAAAACUUAUUAUUGUUUACAUCUCCGCUUUAUUCAAAUAGGGCGAAACGUCCUGAUGACUCAAAAAAUAAACAAUUGAUUCAAUUUUAAAUUUUUUUUAAGAAAAUAAGAAUUUUAAAGGAGUCACCACCUAAUUUUAGGAAACCAAUUAAAUGAUCUACGAAACCAAGAAAUUUUAGGUAAGGGGUUCAAGUUAAUUCGAAGGAAAAGUGUUAGGCAUCAUUCGAAAUUCACAAUUGUGAGUUCCGACCGAAUUCAUUUUUUCAAAUUGAGGAGGAAGUAAAAAUAGUAUACAAAUAUAACAAACAUACAAUAUACACAAGUAAUAUGAGAAACGACCUAAUAUUUGCCUAUCAUCAAUAAUAUACAUAAUAAUGAUUAUAAUAUUCGAACUUUAUUCGAAUGGCUUCGAUGAGAAACGACUUCGGGGUACCUAUAAAGACACUUAAUAAAAGUGUUAAUACUAAAUAUAUAUGAAUAAAAAUAAAUAAAGCAAAUAAUAACUUAAAAAUAAAAACUCAUCUUAUUAACAUAGGAGGCCUUAGAAAUAGACUGUAAUUUCUUCAUCGGCCAAUUUUAACAAAUAAAAUAUACAAACUUAAAUUAAAUUUUCGUCUUUUGCAAUGUAGAGGCCUCCAAAACCGACGGAAAUUUUUUUUCAUUAGGCAAAUUAUAGCAUUUACUUAACAUGAAUUAAGGAAAUAAUCCUAUAGUAAAAUUGACAAAACCCUUCGGGGUGGCCCAGUGGUUUGGGCUUGGGACUUCCAUGUUGGAGGUCUCAAGUUCGAAACCCCUUGCCAGCGAAAGCAAGGGUUUGCCCUCUGGGUCGAGCUCAUCGCACCGGGCUUGCCUAGUGCGGGUUACCUCUCCUAUGUGGUUUGCGAGCUAUUGCAUAAGAGCGGGGGUUUUACCCUGUGCGCAUCCAAAGGGUAGCAGCUGCGGGUUUCCCUUGUCAUCAAAAAAAAUAAAAUUGACAAACAUUAUAUUUAAACUAGCUCAAAAAGAAUAACAAAUUAAUAACGGACAAUGCACAGAUAAUGAUAAAAUAAUUUCGACACUUUUCUAAAAAAAACAACUACUAGUGCUAACAACAUCAAAGAAAUAAAUAAAUUAAGAAGAAUAAUGGAAGUAAAAUCUGUAAUCUAAACAAAAAUAAAAAUAAAAAAUGAAACCGAACACCACAAUCACAAUAGUAUCUAAAUGAAGUAUAAUCUGUAACCGAUUAAAAUAAUAAUAACAAUAAUAAACAAAAGAGGAAACAAAGGCAUAAUAAUAACAAUAAAAUAAAUCCACAACUUAGAGAAAAUUACAAUACUCAACCUUCUUUAAUUAAUAAUUAGAAAUUACCAUUAUGUGCCACUUUAUACGAAUUGAGAGAAUUAACCACAAAUAAAUAGACUAAUCAAGAAUAGCUAACUAUAGUAUCCAAAAUAAACUAAACAAAAAUAAUGGAUUCGAAAGCACAUUCAUAAACUGUAAACGUAAACAAUAAUAAAAAGAAAUCAAGGAAUAACAGAUACAAAAAUUACCGAUCCCGGUCUGGUUCCUGGCGACUUCGUUGUUUUGAGCUACUAUUCGCCGGAGUUGUUUUGCCAGAGUUCGGAAUGUUGGUUGUUGUUAUUGUUACCUCCUGGAGGAGCUCGUGGGUGGAGCUGGUGUGGUCAGCCUCUGGUUUCGAUGAGUUGGAGCUUGGAGCUCACUGGCUGUUGUUCGCCUGGGCUUCGUGGGUUUUGAGCUACUUCUUGCUGGGGUUGCUGGUUCAACGAGCAAAGGGGAGAACGAGGAUGGGGUUUUGGGUUGGUUUCGCCGGAAAAAGGGUGAAGAGAGUUGGGGUCUUAGUGGUGGUUUUGGUGGUGAUUUUGGCUGAAGGGUGGUGGCGUUUGGGUGGGUUGGAGAGCUGCUGGUUGCAGCAGAGAAAACAGGAGGGGUUUUGGGUCUGUUUGGUUGGCUGAUUUUGUGGAUUUGGGGUCUAUUUGGAUCGUGGUUUUGCCGGAAAAAGAGGUGAACGGAGAUGGUUUGUUGGGUUGGAGUUUCUCGGAGGUUGUUUGGUUGUUGUUAAUGGUUGUUUUCGGUGGCUUUUGGUCUUUGGUGGUGGCUGGAUUGUUGCUGGAAACGAAAAGGGGGGUGAGCACUGGCUCGCCGGAAAUGGAGUUUGAGUGGUGAUGAGGAAGGAGGGUGGCGGCAGCUUUGACAAGAUGAUAGAAAAAUCGUUUUUGGUUUCAGUCAUUUUGAAAUUUUUCACCACUUGGACUAAAAAUAUUGUUCAUCCUCUUCACUUAAUGAAUAAGCUAUUGUUUAUAUAGAAAAUUGAAAAUUAUCUAUAGUAUAAUACGAUUAUCUUAAAAUCAUGGGCUGAAACCAUUAGUUAAAUAAAAUAUUUGUAUAUAAAUCUUAUUUAUAUUUGAAUCAAUUUUUAGACAGUGCAAAAUAUCAAAAUUAAUAUUAGCAAAUGUAACAAAUAAAAAUGAAUAUUAUUAAAAAAAAGGAAAGUAAUGAACGUAACAAAUGACAUGUAUAAAGUGCAAUUUAAUAGAAAUAACUAUUUAAUCAAGAUGAACAAAUAUUUGAACGUAUUUAACCAGCUAUGACAAAAAAUAAUGAAAUUAAAAUUAACUGAUAAAAAAUCCUAAAUUUUGACAAAUAAAAAUAAUUAUCGAUAAACUUAUUUAAAAUUAUAAAAAAUGUAUUUUGAACAAUUAAAUAAAUAAAACUUAAAAGUUACGAAUUUUGAAAAUGUUAGGUCAAAAUUGGGUGUCAACAAUUAUAGAUGACCUUUUUUUUUUCUUCAAAUACAAAAAUUAAAUUACAAUAUAGACAAAAAAAAAAUUGUUUUAAAUUAUAAUAUAGCUGCAAAAAAAUAGUUUUAAUUUUUUUUUCUUUACACCAAGGAAUGAAAGAAAAAAUAAAAUAAGAAUAAGAAACUAAAAUAAUGAAAAUCAAAGAAGUCAAAAAAUAAUUUAUGUAUGAAAAAAAUUGAAAUAUACCUUGAACUUUGCAGAAGAAUCUUAUAUAUCCCUAAAUGAUUUUUAAAACAAUUAAAAGUCAAAAAUAUAAAUUUAAAAUUAAUUUUUUCACUUCCGUUAAAUGAAGAUAUAUGUGAGCUCAUUUUGUAACGAUAGGGUAUAUGUGAGCCGUUUAUAUAACAACAAAGGUAUAUAUGAGUCACUUUCAUAACGAGGACAUAUCAACUCUAAAUAAAAAAAUUGACAGGUAUAUCAGACCCUUUUCCCUAGAAAAAAUAAUACCUUAGAGAAAAGGAAAAUGGAACAGAAUCCAAUUCUUCACAAUUCUAAAACGUAUUCAUGAUAUGCUAGGCCAAACUAAGCACUACAAUGAGCUGUUGAAAAAUGGACAAGUGCACAAAGCAAAAAGUAACGAAUAGACAUAAAGCAAAAGAUACCUUCCUCAAUUAUUCAAUUAGUGGAGUCAUACUUUUUGAAAAGAGAAACGAGGACAGUUUUGCUUCUUGUAGAUUAGCUGAAACAUAGUUGUACUAAUUUCAAGCAAUCACUGAUCAUUCUUGUUUGCAAAUUACUCUCAACAUUCAACAGGUAAAGUAAGUUCUAUCUUAGUAGUUGAAGAUAGAAAAAUUUAUCUUCUCAUCAAAAUCAUUUUGUGUUUCCUUGUUUUGAUUUGCAGAUUUCAGAAAUGGAGGUUGGCUUAGCAGUUGGUGGUGCAUUUCUUCUCUUCAGCUUUGAAUGUUCUCUUUGAUAGGCUUGCUCCUCAGGGUGAUCUUCUCAACAUGUUUCACAAGCAUAAGCAUCAUGUUCGGCUCUUCAAGAAGCUGAAAAUGACUUUACUUGGUCUUCAAGCUGUUCUAAGUGAUGCAGAGAAUAAGCAGGCAUCAAAUCAAUUUGUGAGCCAGUGGCUUGAUGAGCUUCGAGAUGCUGUGGACAUUGCUGAAAACUUAAUUGAACAAGUCAAUUAUGAAGUUUUGAGGCUUAAGGUUGAAGGUCAGCAUCAGAAUCUUGCAGAAGCAAGCAAUCAGCAAGUAAGUGACCUUGACCUGUGCUUAAGUGAUGAUUUUUUUCUUAACAUAAAGGAGAAGUUGGAAGACACCAUGGAAACAUUGGAGGAUUUGGAAAAGCAAAUUGGCCGCCUUGGCUUAAACGAGCAUUUUGGUUCGACUAAACAAGAAACUAGAACACCUUCAACUUCUUUGGUUAAUGAAUCUGAUAUCUUUGGUAGGCAGAGCGAAACAGAGGAUUUGAUUGACCGUUUAUUGUCUGAAGAUGCAAGUGGAAAAAAUCUGACUGUAGUUUCUAUUGUUGGAAUGGGUGGCGUGGGUAAGACAACACUUGCUAAAGCGGUUUACAAUGAUGAGAGGGUGAAGAACCAUUUUUGUUUGAAAGCUUGGUAUUGUGUUUCUGAGGCAUAUGAUGCUUUCAGAAUAACAAAAGGGUUACUUCAAGAAAUUGGCUCAUUUGACUUAAAGGAUGACAACAAUCUUAAUCAGCUACAAGUCAAAUUGAAGGAAAGCUUAAAGGGAAAGAAGUUUCUUAUUGUAUUGGAUGAUGUGUGGAAUGAAAACUACAAUGAGUGGGAUGACUUGAGAAAUAUUUUUGUACACGGAGAUAUAGGAAGUAUGAUAAUUGUAACGACACGUAAAGAGCGUGUUGCCUUGAUGAUGGGUAGUGGGGCAAUCAACGUGGGGACUCUGUCUGAUGAAGUCUCUUGGGAACUAUUCAAACGACAUUCACUAGAAAACAGGGAUCCUGAGGAACAUCCAGAACUUGUAGAGGUUGGAAAACAAAUUGCACACAAGUGCAAAGGAUUGCCUUUAGCUCUAAAGGUACUUGCUGGUAUUUUACGCUGCAAAUCAGAGGUGGAUGAGUGGAGAGACAUUUUUGAGAAGUGAAAUAUGGGAGCUUCCAAGUUGUUCGAAUGGUAUAUUACCAGCGCUAAUGUUGAGCUACAAUGAUCUUCCUGCACAUUUGAAGCAAUGUUUUGCUUAUUGUGCAAUAUAUCCUAAAGAUUAUGAAUUUUGCAAAGACCAAGUUAUUCACUUGUGGAUUGCUAAUGGUCUUGUACAUCAGUUGCAUUAUGGUAACCAAUACUUUCUCGAGUUGAGAUCAAGAUCACUGUUCGAAAGGGUCCCAAAGUCUGCAUGGAAACUGGAAGUAUUCUUAAUGCAUGACCUUGUCAAUGAUUUGGCCCAAAUUGCAUCUUCAAAUCUUUGUAUAAGGUUGGAAGAGAACAAAGGAUCGCAUAUGUUGGAACAAUGUCGGCACAUGUCCUAUUCAAUAGGAGAAGGUGGUGAGUUUGAGAAAUUGAAAUCACUCUUUAAAUCAGAGCAGCUGAGGACAUUACUUCCAAUCAAUAUGCCUUUCUAUUGCCAAAAUAAGCUAAGCAAGAGGGUGCUGCAUAACAUUUUGCCAAGACUAACAUCCUUAAGGGCAUUAUCGUUGUUACGCUAUGAAAUUGUUGAGUUGCCAAAUGACUUAUUUAUCGAAUUAAAGCUCCUGAGAUUUUUGGAUAUUUCUCGGACAAAGAUUAAAAGGUUGCCAGAUUCCAUUUGUGUGUUGUAUAACUUAGAGACACUUCUCCUUUCAUCUUGUGAUUAUCUUGAGGAGCUACCGCUGCAGAUGGAGAAGUUGAUCACCUUGCGUCAUCUUGACAUAAGCAACACUCGUGCCUUGAAGAUGCCACUAUAUCUGAGCAAGUUGAAAAGCCUCCAAGUGUUAGUGGGAGCCAAGUUUCUCUAGGUGGUUCGAGAAUGGAAGAUUUGGGUGAAGUACAUAACUUGUACGGAUCUCUAUCAGUUGUAGAGUUGCAAAAUGUGGUUGAUAGUAGGGAAGCUGUGAAGGCAAAAAUGAGAGAGAAGAAUCAUGUUGAGCAGUUAUCUUUGGAGUGGAGUGGAAGUAGUAGUGCCGACAAUUCACAAACAGAAAGAGACAUACUUGAUGAGCUACGCCCACAUAAAAACAUAAAAGAAGUCGAGAUCACCGGAUAUAGAGGGACAACAUUUCCAAAUUGGCUAGCUGAUCCUUUGUUUCUUAAUCUAGUAGAGUUGUCUAUUGAUAACUGCAAGAACUGUUAUUCCUUGCCAGCACUAGGACAACUCCCUUGUUUGAAAUUCCUUUGGAUUAGAGGGAUGCAUGGAAUAACAGAGGUGACGGAAGAAUUCUAUGGCAAUUUGUCCUCCAAAAAGCCUUUUAGCUCUCUUCAGGAGCUUGGAUUUGUUGAUAUGCCGGAGUGGAAGCAAUGGAACAUACUAGGAAUUGGAGAGUUCCCUAUACUUGAGAACCUUUCAAUUAUAAAUUGCCCUGAAGUCUGUUUGGAGAGACCCAUCCAACUUUCAUGUUUAAAAAGGUUUGCAGUUUGUGGUUGUCCUAAGGUUGGAGAAGCUCAAAUGUUUAGAUCCCAACUUGAGGGAAUGAAGGAGAUUGAGAAUUUAGAAAUUAGUGAUUGUAACUCUGUUACCUCCUUUCCUUUUAGCAUACUGCCCACUACCUUGAAGAGAAUAACCAUAUAUCGUUGCGAGAAAUUGAAAUUGGAGGUGCCAGUUGAUGAGAUGAGUAUGUUUCUGGAGGAAUUGACACUGUAUAAAUGUGAUUGUAUAGAUGAUAUAUCACCUGAGUUUUUCCCAACAGCACGCCAUUUGAAUGUAGAGGAUUGCCACAACCUUACUAGGGUUUUGAUUCCUACUGCCACUGAAAGACUCACUAUUUUGAAUUGUGAGAAUCUUAAAAUACUUUCGGUUGCAUGUGGGGGAACCCAGAUGACAAUUUUGUAUAUUGAGGGCUGUUGGAAGCUGAAGUGGCUGCCAGAACGUAUGCAGCAACUCCUUCCAUCUCUUAAGGAACUGUAUCUCUAUAAUUGUCCAGAAAUAGAGUCCUUUCCUGAAGGAGGAUUGCCCUUCAAUUUACAAGCCCUUUGGAUCAGAAAUUGCAAGAAACUGGUGAAUGGCCGAAAGGAGUGGAGUUUACAGAGACUCUCCUGUCUCAGAGAGUUAUCCAUCGUACAUGAUGGCAAUGACGAAGAGAUUGUUGGUGGUGAGAAUUGGGAGUUACCUUCCUCUAUUCAAAGACUUACCAUAGAGAAUCUGAAAACAUUAAGCAGCCAACAUCUCAAAAGCCUCACCUCUCUUCAAUAUCUAUGUAUUCGUAAUUUACCUCAAAUUCAGUCACUGCUGGAACAAGGGUGGCUUCCCUCGCCUCUUUCUGAGCUACGUUUAUAUCACCAUCAUGAGCUCCAUUCACUAGGUCUUUGGCACCUCACUUCGCUUCAAAUUCUACACAUCAUUAAUUGCCCUAAUCUCCAAUCACUUUCCGAAUCAGCACUGCCCUCUUCCCUCUCUAAACUACAUAUUCGCGACUGCGCAUUGCUCACACCACUACUAGAAUUUGACAAGGGGGAAUACUGGCCAGAAAUUUCUCAUAUCUCCACCAUACAGAUCAAUGAGGAAUACCUUUAAUGAUUAAAACAACUGUAAGUUUUUCUUUUUCCUCAUAAGCCUUUUAUUAUUUUUUCAACUUCUCUUUGCUUUUAUGUUAAUGCUUUUUCUUUAUUACAUUCUUGUUUCGCAGUAUGGAGUGUCUAUUGCCACUAUGAAGCUGAUGAUUUUAAUUUUAGAACUCAAUAGCAAUUAAUGUUACAUAUCUUACUCGAAGAUUUUUAUCGCUUGAACUUUCAUCUCAAUAGCAAGUCAUGUAUACUUGUUCUUUCCCUUUUCAGUGAGUUUAGAGUGAUGCACAUGUCCACUAUCAAAUUCAAAACUCUUAAUAGAAUUCAAAGGUGUACCAUACACAAGAUGUGUUUCAGUGAGUUUAGAGUGAUGCACAUGUCCACUAUUCAGGUUUUUAUUAAUGAUUCAGCCCCAUCGUAGAGAUCGAUUGGGAAUACCUGUGAUGAUUAAAACAAAUGGCUCUCCAACUGAUGUAAGUUAUUCUUUUCCAUCAGAAGCUUUUUAUUUUUGUUUUCAUUUUGCUUUUUUGUUGAUUCUUUUCCUUUAUAAAACCUUGUUGAGCAGUGUAGAAUGCCUAUUGCUCAAAUCAUAAAUCUUGAUUAGGAGAACCCUGUAAUGAUUAAAACGAGUUCUGCUCCGAUAGAUGUAAGUUAUUCUAUUUCCUUAAAUGUAACUAAUAUUCACUGGAUAUUCUAUUUCCUUAGUAUAUUUUGAUUGAGAUAAUUUGCUCAAGAAAGUUGAUUGCUUAAUAUAUGUUAUCACCUUUGGAGAUAUAGGGUCCAAGAAAUGCAACCUCACUUUCUCAAUCAGGUAGCCAACACAUUGAUAAAAGUUAUAUCAAGCUUCAAAUUUAAAGAAAUUGAAAACGACUUUGAAUAUCUGCUUCCAUUAUUUUACGCCAUGUUGUACCACAUUGAUUUCAAGUUUGAUUCCACUGCAUAAUUACAUCAGUUUUUUUUUUGUUUUGAUAUUCAAUUAUCUAGAAUAUUACAUCACUUUUUGGUUUUGAUAGUCAGAGAACUUUGAAGAUUAUGAAGUUUCCUUCAAAUUAAGCCCAUUACUCAACCUCGAGUGACACCUCAGAGCUAGCGGAAAGUCAAGAAAGUUUAUCCUGCUCGGGAUGAAGUUAAUGUUAGAUAACAAAAUAAUGAUUUACUCGUGUUUCAGUUACUAAGAUUCUUAUUUUGUAGUAAUAUUUUGGACUCUCAUAACUCAGUGACAUGGAUUUCCUUCAUUGGCACCCUCAUCAGUCAUCAAUCAGUGAAACAGAGAAAUCGACUGUUUCAAAACUCUCUGAAACCCAUUUUGAGCUUCAUGCCUUCAAUUCCGAUGAAACCCAAAAGGCAUCAACAGAGUAGAAGAAUUCAACCCAAAACCCAUUUCAACCCAAGUUUUCUAUUCCUGCUUCACCUGAUAGGAAGAAGUUUACGUAUGAGAAAGGUCUAAAGGUACAAAUAUUUUUUCUUCUCCUUUUCUUACUGUGGUGCUUAAAUUGGUUUUGUCCCACUUUGCAUCACAAUGAUGUUGGAGUAUAUCGGUUUUCUACUGGUAUUCAGAUACUUAAAAUGGAAAAUUGCUUUGGAAAAUAUCGUUUCAUUGUUCGAAAGUUGUUUAACAUACAAUUGGCAUCUGUUGAUCCAAUUUUUUCAUUUUUCUGUUAAUCUUCUUCUAUCCUUAGUUUACAUGUCUUCUGAUUGAGUUAUAAUACAUGCCUUGAUUCUAUUGAAGAUGAGAAAUCGUCAAAUGCCUUUAUGAAGUGUUUGCUAAGUUGAUGUCGCCUAAUUCACAUUUCACUGAAUUAAUUUCUGACCCAAGUUUAUGCAUAUGUUUGGUCUAACAUUGAAAAGGAAAAAUGUCGAAUGAUAUGGAUAUUUUUGUUUUUAAGAAUACAAAGUCACUAUAAAGGUAGAAAAUUUCGAUGGUAUUAAUUUUGAUAUGCAUCACCAUUGAGAACUUUGCCUGAGGUAUUAAUUUCUAUUUUCGCUGUUUAGAAAUGUUUAAUGUAACUCCUAAUUGUGAUGCUUCAUUCACACAUUUUUGAAAUAUAUUACAUAGAAAAUAUGCUUCUAUCCAAGGAAAAUUAUAUCUGCCUAGCUCUAACCUCCAGUACGUGUAUUCAUGAAUAAAAUGAUAGAAAAUGGAAACAAGGAAGGAAAACAUGUGCUGUUUGUUCUCGAUUUUUAAAUAUUGUAUCCUCUUUCGCUUCUGUUUUUCAUUUGCUCUCCUAGCUAAUAGUCUUUUAUUUACUGAAUAAUCAUAUGUUAUAUGUCUCCUUAAGUUCCUGUAUUUUUUAUUUCACAAACUUCACAUAAGCAUACAAGUAAUUGCAAUAGUUUAUUUGUGCUUCCAGAUUCGUUUAGUGUGAGGUCUGAUUUUUCUUUUUCCUUUUACAGCUAUUAGGAAAAGCUUGCCUAUGUGGCUCUUGACUAUGAGCAGGAGAUUGAAACUGCCAGGAGCAGCUCCUCCACUGAAAAGAACUAUGAAUUGCCUGAUGGACAAGUUAUUGCCUUUGGUGCUGAGAGGUUCCAUUGCCCAGAGGUCCUCUUCCAGCCAACGAUCCUUCCCGUGCGUUGAUCGUGGAUAAGACACUCAGAAGAAGAAAAGAUGACACGAAGAUGGUUAGCUGCAACAUGACUGACAGAAAUUUCUUUAUAGGAGGAAAAUGGAAUCUAUCAUGAAGAAUCCGGGAUGAAGACAUAGACCCACAGUGUGAAAGAGGUAAGAGAGUUUCAUCUACAAUGUUAACAGAAACUUUAAUAGGUAAAGGAGGCAGACAAUAGCAAUUGAUUAUCGUUUAGUGAUUAUCUUGCUUGUUAUAAACAUCAGGAGCAUUUGAUGGUAAGAUGUCAUAUAUCUUGGUAUCUAACAGGUACCCUGGGGUAUUAAUGAGUGAGGUUGAGGAUGGAAAGCCAUUCAGCCAAGUUGUUAAUGCUGCUAAAAGCCUUGGCUACACUAUUAAUGUUUGUAAAAUCACCAUAUAUAUGAGAAUUGAAGAUAUGACUUACAAAAACAGAAAGUUGUCGAUUGAAUAUAUGAUAUUGUCUAUUCAUAAUUAUGUGUAGUCUUACAUUUUUGUUUAUAUGUUGCUCUUUCUAUGAGUAAUUUCCACUCGUUUUCCUGUCAGGCAAGUGUUCCUCUGGUACAAUAAUAUUUUCUGGCCUUCUGCUUAGGAAGUUUGUCUAGGACUAAUUUGAAUGUGAGAGAAGUCAGAGAAACACGAGAAGCGAUUAAGAGAAUGUGUAAUACAAAUGUCUUACACAUGAAUUCUUCUUUUAUAUGCUCACUUUACGGUGCAUCUUCAUACAUUUGUCCAAUGUGGUGAACAUGCACAUACAACUCUAUAUUACAAUUAUCUCUUGUUAUUUACAUUUAGCUAUCUGAUUCUCCCCUCUAGCUGGUGCGUACAUGUAACCUGUAUAGGAUUUGAUGAAUAUGUCUAUAAGUUGAUCGGUCGACUUUCCAAACUUUAUAAGAGUGUCGUGAAAGCAUUUUUUGGGGAAGGGACAGUCGGUUUCUAUAUGCUUGGUCCUCUUGUCAGAUUCUGCAUACAAUGGAUACAAGUACAACUUGAUUAAUUAUCACACUCAAGUUUUGUUAUGAUCAAAUUUCAAUUGUUAGAGAAAAAUGUAUCUCAGGUUUAACUCUGCCCAAAAGUUACCUCAUGACAUGCGGAUUGCCAAAGAUCACAUAAAGAGAUUACAACAAAACAUCCUCAACUGAAGUGAGACUAACAUCUUAAUUCUUAUCGCUUGCACAGGGCGGAACAUAUGAAGUAUGUAUAACAUAACACAGGGGGGCUUAACAUUGGGUAAUAACUAAACACUAGGGAUGAGCUUGAGUGAGAUAUCAUUAAGAAAAUGGACUUUGUGCCUAACCCAGUCCAGAAAGCUAGUCCAAGAUCAUAUAAGGGUACCUUUAACCAAUGUGGUAAACUAACAGCAACCAUUUUCGAUCCUUUUGGUGGUUGUUAAUCUAUGUGCUCAUCGUUACCAUAGUCAUGACCCAAUAUUCUCUUUCUUCUAUAUUGCCCAAUUGCCUGAAAGUAUUAUAGUAUUUAGAAGUAAAACGUAUAUAAAGAAGGUAUCACUGUCCAUUUUGCAUCGUAAUUGUCUUUGAUUUUUGUUGAUAAUCCUUUCCAAGAGCAGGCUUCCUACCCCAAAAUUCUGUUUCCAGCUGGAUUAUAUAAGAAAUUUGGAGCCAUUCAAAACUUCUAAGGAGAUUCUAGUUCCUGUUCUAAUAAAGAAAUAAUGUCUUCAAUGCAUUGUCAAGAUGCAGUCAAUUUUCUAGCAGCAGUUAGCAGGAACCGUACAUCCAUCCCAAAAUAUCAUUAUGGAAGAAAUCGCUGACACUACACUUCAUCUCAAUUCUCAUUAGGAUAGUUGAAGUAUGAAGUUAUUCUUAUGUAUUUAUACUUAUCUGCAGAUCCUCGGGAUGAUCUAGGUGGUAUGGAUGCAGCAAGAAAGGUUAGGAAACGUCUUUCUUCUGAUUAAACUUACAGUGUCCAAGAUUUCAAUCCAUUUAUAUUGCCAAAUUAUUAUGCUGAUUAAGCAUUAUCUUUCUUUUUUCUUUAUCUGAACUUACCUGCAGUCUUACAGUAUGCAUAAUUGAUACAAUUAUUCUAUUUUGCAAAGGCUGGCUAUGAUAUUAUGUAAAAAGGCUGGCUAUGAUAUUAUGUGAAAAGAUCUGAGCUUCCAAUAUUGGAGACCCUAUAACCUUUAAAAUCCUCUGUUCAACCCAUAUGCAACAACUAUAUAACUCAACUGGAAAUGGCUAAGAAUCAAAUAUACGAUACUCCAAGACCACUCAAUUCUUUGUUUAUAAGCCAACAUAAACAAUAUGAUACAAUUAUUCUGUUUUGCAAUGUCAACUGCAACGAGUCUGAACCAUUGAAUUAACCAUCUAAAAGAACGUAAUUAAAAGUAAAUUUUGAAAAAAGAACGAAAAACUAGUUGAGUGAUUGGUGAUUAUCAUUUGCUUAUUCUGUUUUUUCCCCUUAUCAUGGUUACUUGUAAGUAUAAUCUCGUAAGGAAAAAAAACAUUCAAGCCAGUCCCAUCUGGAUAUAAAAUUCAAGGUUUCUUCUAGUCUGUGAUUCUGCUAUUCUCUUUUGUAUCAUGAAAAGUGUCUCGUUAGCUAUAGUCAUAUGUGCAUGAGAGUGUAGAGGGAGCAUCUCUGCUUCAUAUUUCAAGUACUUUGUUAUAAUCUUUCCUUAAUUUGUAUUUGGGAUGAUGAUGUCUUUGGGGGGUAGAAAAGCUGUGAUUAAGCCAGAAUCAUUUUCGCAGAUUGCGAUGGGAAGCAUAUCUUAUCCAACUUAAUAUAGUUAAUACUUGGUUUCUCGGUACCUUUCAUGAAACGUUCAUAGUUCUAAUUGGUUCUGUAAAUUUUGAGAAGUUGAACAUCCCUCAUAACAAUAUUUUGUUUUGAUGUCUUCAUAACAGGCUCUAAUUCUUGCUCGGCUCCUUGGACGACGUUUAAACCUAGAUAAUAUGAAGGUUAGGAUACAUGUCACCAUGUCUCUUUGUUUUGUUACUAGCUCAAUUAGCUUCAGAAACCUUGAUGCAUAUGCAAAUCCCUUUUCAGAUUGAAAGCUUGUAUCCUGAAGAAAUGGGACCAGAUGUGAUGCCUCUGGAAGACUUUCUAGUGAAUGGCCUUCCCUUACUUGAUAAGAAAAUUGAAGAUAGGACUAAACAAGCUUGAAUUUUCUGCGUUAGUUUGCUUGAUGAUGAUGCGUGGUAAUUCUUUCACUUCAUUUUUAGUUUGCUCAAUGGAUAAUGACAACUUGAUCUUUUAUUCUAAUCACAUUCUGCAAGUCACCAUACCUCUAGCAGCUUAAAGCAAAGCUUGCUCACUGACGGGAGUGUUAUGGUCAGUUGUUCACCUCUCGUAUCCACGACCAAUUAAAGAACGAGUUAGAAGUAUAAAUCUGUAAUGGCAUAGAUGAGGGAACAUUGAACUAUCUUUAAAUGAUAGUUCCAAAAUAUUUUCAUUAAUUAGUUCUUUUUUCAUGUAUUUAGGGUUGGGAAGGUGGCAGAUGGGUAUGCAGAAUUAUCAUAUUUUUUUCUUGAGACUUAUGUUGAGAAAAUUGUUAUAAGCUCUUGUAUUUAGUAUAACAUCAAUUGAAAAUUGGGAAGCAAAAACUUGUCGGCUCAUUCUACAUAAGACCUAUGUUUGGAUUUACAAAAACAACAUACCCAAUGUAACCCCACAAGUGGGGUUUGGGGAGGAUAGGAUGUAUGCAGACCUUGUCUGGAUUUGUUUGAAUAUAAUUCACUAACAUGUUCAUAUGGUAAUGAUGGGUUCGUUUGGAUGCAAAAUGGCAAUGUUAUCCAUACUAGUAGAAACUUAGAAUCUAUCUUUGGUUUCUUUAAGCGGUUUGGUCUCACCUUGUAAGGUUUGAAGUUUCAUUUCUUGUAUUGUCUUGAACAAGUGUAUAUCAAGGAGUAUUUAUUAACUUGUUGGUUGAAGAAAAAAAAUAGAUAUUUCUGUUUAUUGGUUUUUGUCUUCUUGAUAAGUGUCUACUUUAGAACUAUUAUGAAUUGUUCUAGCAAAAUCAACUGCUACAAACAGCUUCACUGAAAACAAAUAGCACAGAAGAAAGUGUCUGGCGGUCUGCUGCUUGGGGAAAAAUUGAUUAUUGAAAACACUUUUGUGUACAUGACAUUAACAUCACUCAUUUUCAGAUAUGAAGUUGGCAUCCAAGAAGUUCCAAAAGAUUUUGCAUUGGGAAGAUUAAGAGGAAGUGAUAAUGUGGUGCGCAUUGUGCACUUUCACCUCCCAUUUUGCUGUUUCUUUGGUCCCUCUUCUUUUUGUUCCAUUACUUUGUUUUCCGUUGGGAAUUUUCUUUUAACUGCUAUGGAGGUUCAACCAUAUCAUACUCGUCGUUAUUAGAUUAUCAAGGUAAAACAUUUUUAAUUGUUUAAAGCCCUUUUGUGAUGUCAUUUUUGUAGUGAUGUAUUACAUCAUGCUGUGAUUUUAAAGAAUUGCUCAUCUUUUACCCAUGCCUAAGGCGAACGCUUUACUUUGUCUUUACUCUUUACACAUCAUCUGGUGUCGCCCUGCAAAACUUUGUGCAGUUAAGGUCUUUGAUUCUAUUCUACCUUAAUCGUAGAAUGUAUCCCUUGUACUAAUUAGGAGGUAAUACAAACAGUAAGAUUAAUGACUUGGUUUUGUCGAAGAAUGACUAUGAUGAUUGAACGUCUGUAAUUUGGAUUGUUUGUCUACAGGUGGAGAUAUACAGCCGUUGUUACGAGAAACAACCUUUGGUUAUCCAAGGCGCUGGAGCAGGAAAUGAUACCACAGCAGCUGGUGUCCUAGCUGAUAUCCUUGACAUUCAAGAUUUAUUCCCUUGACCGAGUAUUAUACACUGAGAUACAAACAUUCGAUCCUCAAAGGAUGAAAAAUCGACUCUUCUUGUCCCUCUGCUUCAAUCAUUGAAGACUGAAAUCAGGCUCAUUUAGCACAUCCAUUUUUUGAAAAAAAAUUCGACACGUGAGAGUGCGUUGUCAGUUUAUGGAAAAUUAUUGCACGAUUUCUCGCGUCUAUCUUGUCACUAGUGAAAUUGAUCAUAUAUUUGCCUCAUUGCUUGACUAGUUUUUAAGAUUUCACUUCAGCUUAUAAUCAGUUUAUGUUGUAAUGACCAUUUUGGUACCUAAACUUUUUAUGUUACUACAAUUUUAGAGACUUAGUUAUUAUGCUUUCAGAAUAACAAAAGGGUUAAUACAACGUGUAGGAUGACUUGAGAAAUCUUUUUGUACAAGGAGAUAUAGGAAGUAAGAUCAUUGUAACAACACGCAAAGAGUGUGUUGCCUUGGUGAUGGGAAAUGAGCAAAUUAGCAUGGAGAAUCUAUAUAUGGACUACCUAUUUCAUUUUAUGAGAAGAGAAGAGAAUUUUAAAAAUGAUGUUGGCCUUUUCUUUUCUUCGACUGUCAGCUAUACAAAACCAAGACAAAUGUUGUAAUGGAGAACUUGUUCCCUCCAGCACUAUCUUCAUUUAUCUUUAUCCUGACAAAAUUUAGAAAGUAGAAAACGUAAAACAAAGAAAAUAAUAAGGAAGAAAGUGUGAAGAUUUACCAAAACUCUUGCUUCCAGUAAUGAAUAGUCAAGAAACCAGACUGGCAGACUCCAUAAUUAUUUUCUAUGGCUGUGAGCUGCAGACUGUAGAUAAAACAUAGUUGUACCAAUUACAAGCAAAAGAGAGGGGGAGAAAUCAUUCUUGAUUAUAUAUCACUCUUAGCUCUUAGCAUUCAACAGGUAAAAUAAAAUUGUUAGUAAUUGAAGUUUGAAACAUUUAUCUUCUUAAAAUCAUUUUAAGAAGAUAUCAUUUAAACCAUAUGGCAAUCUAGCUCGGCAAGAGAUACAUGCUAAAGUAUAUCCUGCUCGGGAUGAAUUCAAGGUUAGAUAAUAAAAUAAUGAUUUACUCGUGUUUCAGUUAUCAAGAUGCUUAUUUUGUAGUAAUAGUUUCCUCUCUCAUAAAUCAGCGAAAUAGAUUUCCUUCAUUGGCACCCUCAUCAGUCAUCAAUCAGCAAAACAGAGAAAUCAACGGUUUCAAAAUUCUCUGGAACCCAUUUCGAGCUUCACGCCUUCAAUUCUGAUGACACAAAAGACAUCAACAGAGUAGAAGAAUUCAACCCAAGUUUUCGACUCCUGCUUCACCUGAUGAGAAGAAGUUUACGGGAGAAAGUUUGCCUUAGGUAUUAAUUUCUAUUUUCGCUGUUUAGAUAUGUUUCCUGUAGCUCCUAAUUGUGAUGCUUCAUUUACACAUUUUUAAAAUUUUAUCUAAUAACAGGGAUACAGUAUGUCCGAGUCAACUUGAUGUUACAAACUUGCAGCUAAUUGUUGUGCGUUAUAUUUUUGCAUAUCAUGAAGAAUCCGGGAUGAAGACAUAGACCCGUAGUGUGAAAGGGGUAAGAGAGUUCCAUCUGCAAUGUUAACAAAAUCUUAUAUAAAAAUAAUAUAUACGAAAAUUAAUUUAUAAAAAUUAUAUACCAAAUUGAAAACUUAAAAUCAAUAUUAUAAAAAUAUUACAUCUUAUAUAUAUAAAAGAGAACCUUAUGCCCGCCUACGUGGCGCCACCACAAACCAGAAUUCUCUUUAAAUUUAUUUAUUUCCAAAACUAGCCUUCCUCUUUUAAUGAAAAGUUGUGACAUUUAUGAAAAAUUGUGAAUUUUAUGAAAAGUUUUGACUUUAACUAGCCUUCCCCUUUCAUGAAAAGUUGUGACUUUUAUGAAAAAUUGCGACUUUAAUGAAGAGUUGUGACUUUUAUGAAAAAUUCUGACUUUUAUGAAAGGUUGUGACCUUUCCGAAGGGUUGCAACCUUUCUAAUAAAUCACAAUAAACAUUUGUUCACAUUACCCUUUGUUGUCUAUAAAUAGAGGGAUUUCCUCUCAUUUUAAAACAACUGAAAUUCUGAAUCUCUUCUUCUUCUUCACAAUUAAAUAUUUGUUUGUUUUGCUCAUGUUGAGUGGCUCAGUGAUACCAUUGCUUAUGUUACAGAUCCUGGUAUGUAUUUUUACAGUCAUUAAUUUAUGCUUAUGUUAUUAAGAAUAAAUGAUAAAGAUGUAAUAAUUUUCAUUUUCCUUUACAUUAUUAAUUUUUGUUACUACGUAAUCUUAUAUGUAAGAUAAUAUAGUGUUUUUGUUUUAAUGACUGAUAGGUUUUUAAGUAUUAUUUUAUAAAUUCCAUGAUACUAUUAAAUUCCCGAGCGAAGCGCGGGUAAUUUUACCAGUAAAAGAUAAUUAAGUAUACUGCGAACUUAAUUAAAAUAUAAAAUUUAUAAUAUGUUAAAUUAAUUUUUUUUAAUAUUAUACAAAUUCAGAGUUGCACAUGUUCACCCUUGUGCUUUGAUAAAAUGCAGAAUCUUAUGUAUAAAAAAAUACAAGAGGUUGUGGUGAAAGUUUAUUUCCAAUAGAAAUACGUGAAUUUGGUGGUAUGCCGUCCCCACCAAAGACAUAACCUAUAUUUAUAAAGAUUAUGAAAACUUACUAGUUCAAGAAAAAAAGAAGUGAUGUAUGAUUGAGAAAAGAAAGGAAGAGAGUUUGUAGCGAGAGAGAGAUAUGGAAAGUUUCGCAAAGAGAGAGAGGCAUAUUUUGUUGUGUAUUAAAUAAGUCUGAAUAUUAUUAAACUUAUUAGCAAAUUUUAUUCGUUUUGAUUCUUUUUUCUUCUAUGGCUGUCCACCCACCAAAAUAAAUAAAAUAUCCUUCCUCUUUUGCCUCAAUUGUUGGCUAAAAGUCAACUCAUGGAAAAGAGACAAUUUAAAUUAUUAUUAUUAUUUUCCUAUAGCUGUCAGUUGUAGAUGGUAGAAAACUAUAGUUGUACCAAUUAUAGAUCACUGAUUAUUCUUGUUUGCAAAUUACUCUUAGUAAUUGAAGAUAGAAACAUUUAUCAUUUUGUGUUGCUUUGCAGAUUUCAGAAAUGGAAAUUGGGUUAGCAGUUGGUGGUGCAUUUCUCUCUUCAGCUUUGAAUGUUCUCUUUGAUAGGCUUGCUCCUCACGGUGAUCUUCUCAACAUGUUUCAGAAUCAUACGAAUGAUGUUCGGAUCUUUAAGAAGCUGAGAGCGACUUCGGAUGGUCUUAAGAUUGUGCUAAGUGAUGCAGAGAAUAAGCAAGCAUCAAAUCCAUCGGUGAGCGAGUGGCUUGAUGAGCUUCGAGAUGGUGUGCACUCUGCUGAAAACUUAAUGAGAAGUUAAUUAUGAAGCUUUGAGGCUUAAGGUGGAAGGCCAGCAUCAAAAUCUUGCAGAAACAAGCGACCAGCAAGUAAUUUGAUAUUUUGAUAAUUUGAUUGAUUCAGGAUGAACGUCGAUCGUAUGAUUACAUGGAUUCACAACCAGAUAUCAACGUCAGGGUCAGAGCUAGAAAAUUUUCUGGAAGGCUGAACUACUUGAAAAAAAUGAAAGUUACAUUACUGCACACAGAUGCGAGAUCAAGAGAAACUUUUUAGAUCUGUUGUCGAUAUUCUUAGCAGUGUAACUCAUGUGCACAUUCUACAGCAAAAAGUACAGUAAGUAGAAGAACUCAAUUUUUAGCAAUGAAAUGGCACCAUUUUCUCACACUCAAAAUGAUCUUAAAUUUCAUGAAUGAAACAAUCAUAUAUUACUUAGCUUGAAGCCCCAUUUUCUUCCUCGUUUUCCCAACGUAUAAAUCCUUAGACUUGCUCAUCUCGGGGACUAAUCCAAUGAUCGUCGUGAAUGAAAAUUGAGCCACUACUUCGAGGCUCGUAUAUUGCAAGUUUGCUUUCUUUUCCUCCGCUCAUCAAAAGUUUCAAGUUCUUCGCGGUCAUUAGAGCAUGUUUUUGAGCCGAAUAUCCUUGUUUAAGUUCCUGAUAGCAAAGAAGCAUUAGAGUUCAAUUGAACAAUAAUAACAUACACAGUAUAGUCUCACAAGUAGAGACUGUGGAGUGUUUACGCAGACUUUAUCCCUACCUUGUCAAGUAAGAACUCAAUUGAAUAAUAGAAUCAAAACUCAAGUAAUAGAUAGCUGCUUCAGGUCCUCUGCCUACUGCUAUAUUAUCAAAAUGCCUUCUAAAUUCGACAUAUAUAUUCUUCAACUGUAGUUUCUCUUGUAACAACAACAACAAAUCCUUAUGUUUCUAUGACCCUUGAUUCUAAGAUUCUCAUCAACCUUCAAUCUUCCAAAAUUAUCGAUUCGAUCCUUCAAAUACGUCUCCCUUAACCACUCUGAACUCGGUGGCUUUCCCGUGCAAAGAAAAUUGGCUGAAUCCCAUGAAAUUACUAGUACAUCUUGACAUCUUUGUAAAAGAGUAGAUCGCAGUCAUGAUCAAGACAAUUGGUUGAAUCCCGUGAAAUUAACUUAAAUCUAAUAUAAAAAUAUUAUACCCUUUAACUUGGCCUCAACUCCUAAAUAUGCCCUCCAACUUUGGAUGUACUCGAGUAGUCAGUUAAAUUUGUAUAAAGUUGAAUAAAUAGAUACAAGCGUCCUAAGUGACAUCUUACAUGACAAUUUUUCAUCUGACGUGUCUUGUAUGUAUUAUGUCACGUAAGACUUGUGUGUCUAUUUGUUCAACUUUAUACAAGUUAAAGUGUUUACUUGUGCAUACCCAAAGUUGGAAGACAUAAAUGUGAAAUGAUGCCAAGUUAAAGAGCAUAUUAUUCAAAAUUCAAAAAUAGGGUUUGAAGUUUCAAUUCCAUUGAUGGAUAACGUUACAAUUUUAGUGUAGCACAAUGGAACUUGGAAUUCAAACAACCACUACAAUAAUUAUCACAUUGAUGCAAUUUUAGUCAAUUCUACUUCCAAUUUGACAAAUUUGGUCAUAAAUUUAUCUUAUUAUCCUUGACAGAAUGUUAUGGAUGGUUCUAAAAUUAUGAAAUAAAAUGUAUUUAUUAGGAUAAAUUUACUUUUUUACCCUUGGUCGUUCUUGGUCUCCACAUUUCUAUAUAGUAGAAAAAUUCAAGAGGUCAUUUUCAGAUAAUUUAACAUCUAAAAGCAUCCAAACAAUGAUCUACCUGGCCUCAACUAUUAGUAACUUUUAAUUAUUAUUUUUUCUUGAUCGGAUUUUGGUAAUGAUUAUGUUCUUUGCUUAGCUAGUGAAAGUUUUAUUUCCAAUAUAAAUAUGUGAAUUUUGGUGGUAUGUGAUCCCCACUAAAUUAUAUGUCAACUCUUUUUUCCCUUUUUAAAAUAGGAAUAAUACAUAAACAAUUUCUUAGUACACGUUAGAACUUACUAUAUAUGCUUAGAGUAAUUGUUUAAUUGUUUAAUUCUACACCAUAACUCCACGUUAUUGCCACUAUACCAAAAAGUCAAUCCUCCCAAUUUGAACCAUCCAUUUAUUCCAACCUACCCAAUAACUUAAAGCUUGAGGCAAUCCUCCCAAUUCGAAAAGUCUUUUUCUCUGAACAUAUGACAUGUAUUUAUUGGUUUAUUGUAAAUAACAAAUACAAAUACGUUUUCACCUAAUCUGAGUUUGUUUGGGGUGUUUUAUCUCUCACUAUCAAGAGGAACUUUAUCACAACGAUUCAAGCUCGAAAUCUCUAAUUAAAUACGAAAAAUUAUAUAUCUUUUUUUUUUUAUAAGGGAAAGAUCCUCUUGAUGUUAUCAAAUUCCCAACUUGGCAUGCUUUAAAGUAUAAAAAAAAUAUUAUGAAGACAGAGUCUUGUUGUUGGGUGAAAAGUCAUCCUCAUGGAAAAGACAGCUUAAAUUCUUUUUUUCCCUAUAGUUGUCACUGUAGAAAACUAUUGUUGUACCAAUAUUCUUGUUUGCAAAUUACUCUUAGCAUUCAACAGGUAAAGUAAAGUUCCUUUAGUAAUUGAAACAUUUAUCUUCUCAAAAUCAUUUUGUGUUUCCUUGUUUUGCUUGCAGAUUUCAGAAAUGGAGGUCGGCUUAGCAGUUGGUGGUGCAUUUCUCUCUUCAGCUUUGAAUGCUCUCUUUGACAGGCUUGCUCCUCAUGGUGAUCUGAUGAAGAUGUUUCAGAAGCAUAAGGAUCAUGUUCAGCUCUUACAGAAGCUGCAGGACAUUUUUCUUGGUCUUCAGAUUGUGCUAAGUGAUGCAGAGAAUAAGCAAGCAUCAAAUCGACACGUGAGCCAGUGGUUUAAUAAGCUUCAGAGUGCUGUGAACGGCGCUGAAAACUUGAUAGAAGAAGUCAAUUAUGAAGCUUUGAGGCUUAAGGUGGAAGGCCAGCAUCAAAAUCUUGCAGAAACAAGCAACAAACAAGUAAGUGACCUCAACCUGUGCUUGAGUGAUGAUUUAUUUCGUAACAUAAAGGAUAAGUUGGAAGAAACCAUUGAAACAUUGGAGGUGUUGGAAAAGCAAAUUGGUCGCCUUGGCUUAAAGGAGAAUUUUGUUUCGACUAAACAAGAAACUAGAACACCUUCAACUUCUUUGGUUGAUGAUUCUGAUAUCUUUGGAAGGCAGAGUGAAAUAGAGGAUUUGAUUGACCGUUUAUUGUCUGAAGAUGCAAGUGGAAAAAAGCUCACUGUAGUUCCUAUAGUUGGAAUGGGCGGCGUGGGUAAGACAACACUUGCUAAAGCCGUUUACAAUGAUGAGAAGGUGAAGGACCAUUUUGGUUUGAAAGCUUGGUUUUGUGUUUCUGAGGCAUAUGACGCUUUCAGAAUAACAAAAGGUUUACUUCAAGAAAUUGGCUCAUUUGACUUAAAGGAUGACAACAAUCUUAAUCAGCUACAAGUCAAAUUGAAGGAAAGAUUAAAGGGAAAAAAGUUUCUUAUUGUUCUGGAUGAUGUCUGGAAUGACAACUACAACGAGUGGGAUGACUUGAGAAAUGUUUUUGUACAAGGAGAUAUAGGAAGUAAGAUCAUUGUGACGACACGUAAAGAGAGUGUUGCCUUGAUGAUGGGUAGUGGGGCAAUCAACGUGGGGACUCUGUCUGAUGAAGUCUCUUGGGAACUAUUCAAACGACAUUCACUAGAAAACAGGGAUCCUGAGGAAUAUCCAGAACUUAAAGAGAUUGGAAAACAAUUUGCAGACAAGUGCAAAGGUUUGCCUUUAGCUCUAAAGGCACUUGCUGGUGUUUUACGCGGUAAAUCAGAGGUGGAUGAGUGGAGAGACAUUUUGAGAAGUGAAAUAUGGGAGCUUCCAAGUUGUUCGAAUGGUAUAUUACCAGCGCUGAUGUUGAGCUACAAUGAUCUUCCUGCACAUUUGAAGCAAUGUUUUGCUUAUUGUGCAAUAUAUCCCAAAGAUUAUCAAUUUCGCAAGGACCAAGUUAUUCACUUGUGGAUUGCUAAUGGUCUUGUACAGCAGUUGCAUUCAGGUAACCAAUACUUUCUUGAGUUGAGAUCAAGAUCAUUGUUCGAAAGGGUCCCAGAGUCUGAAUGGAAACCGGAGGGAUUCUUAAUGCAUGACCUUGUCAAUGAUUUGGCCCAAAUUGCAUCUUCAAAUCUUUGUAUAAGGUUGGAAGAGAACAAAGGAUCGCACAUGUUGGAACAAUGUCGGCACAUGUCCUAUUCAAUAGGAGAAGGUGGUGAGUUUGAGAAAUUGAAAUCACUCUUUAAAUCAGAGCAGCUGAGGACAUUACUUGCAAUCAAUAUCCAGCUCUAUGAUUACAAAAUUAAGCUAAGCAAGAGGGUGUUGCAUAACAUAUUGCCAAGACUAACAUCCUUAAGGGCAUUAUCGUUGUCACGCUAUGAGAUUGUUGAGUUGCCAAAUCACUUGUUUAUUGAAUUAAAGCUCCUGAGAUUUUUGGAUAUUUCUCGGACAAAGAUUAAAAGGUUGCCAGAUUCCAUUUGUGGAUUGUAUAACUUAGUGACACUUCUCCUGUCAUCUUGUGCUGAUCUUGAGGAGCUACCGCUGCAGAUGGAGAUGUUGAUCAACUUGCGUCAUCUUGACAUAAGCAACAUUUCUCUCUUGAAGAUGCCACUAUAUCUGAGCAAGUUGAAAAGCCUCCAAGUGUUAGUGGGAGCCAAGUUUCUUUAGGUGGUUCGAGAAUGGAAGAUUUGGGUGAAGUACAUAACUUGUACGGAUCUCUAUCGGUUGUAGAGUUGCAAAAUGUGGUUGAUAGUAGGGAAGCUGUGAAGGCAAAGAUGAGAGAGAAGAUUCAUGUUGGCAAGUUAUCAUUGGAGUGGAGUGAAAGUAGUAGUGUCGACAAUUCACAAACUGAAAGAGACAUUCUUGAUGAGCUACGCCCACAUAAAAACAUACAAGAAGUCCGAAUCACCGGAUAUAGAGGGGACAAAAAUUUCCAAAUUGGCUAGCUGAUGUUUCGUUUCUUAAGCUAGUAGAAUUGUCUCUUAUAAACUGCAAGAACUGUUAUUCCUUGCCAGCACUAGGACAGCUUCCUUGUUUGAAAUUCCUUUCCAUUAGAGGGAUGUAUGGAAUAACAGAGGUGACGGAAGAAUUCUAUGGCAGUUUGUCCUCCAAAAAGCCUUUUAACGCUCUUGAGAAGCUUGUAUUUGAAGAUAUGCCGGAGUGGAAGCAAUGGCAUGUACUAGGAAAUGGAGAGUUCCCUACACUUGAGAAGCUUUUAAUUAUAAAUUGCCAUGAACUCAGUUUGGAAACACCCAUCCAACUUUCAUGUUUAAAAAGGUUUGAAGUUGAUGGUUGUCAUAAGGUUGGAGAUGCUCAAAUGUUUAGAUCCCAACUUGAGGGAAUGAAGCAGAUUGUUGAAUUAGAUAUUAGUGAUUGUAACUCUAUUACCUCCUUUCCUUUUAGCGUUCUUCCCACUACCUUGAAGAGAAUAGUUAUAUCUGGUUGCCAGAAAUUGAAAUUGGAGCAGCCAGUUGGUGAGAUGAGUAUGUUUCUCGAGGAAUUGAAACUGCAAGAAUGUGAUUGUAUAGAUGAUAUAUCACCUGAGAUGCUCCCAACAGCACGCAGAUUGUUUGUAUGUAAUUGCCAGAACCUUACUAGGCUUUUUAUUCCUACUGCCACUGAAAGUCUCUAUAUUGCUUAUUGUGUGAAUCUUGAAAUACUUUCGGUGGCAUGUGGGAAGACCCAGAUGAUGUAUUUUCCAGAACGUAUGCAGGAACUCCUCCCAUCUCUUAAGACACUGAUUCUAUCUAAUUGUCCAGAAAUAGAGUCCUUUCCUGAAGGAGGAUUGCCCUUCAAUUUACAACAACUUCAUAUCUACAAUUGCAAGAAACUGGUGAAUGGCCGAAAGGAAUGGCAUUUACACAGACUUCCCUGUCUCAGAGAGUUAAGCAUCUACCAUGAUGGCAGUGACGAAGAGAUUGUUGGUGGUGAGAAUUGGGAAUUGCCUUCCUUUAUUCAAAGACUUACCAUAUACAAUCUGAAAACAUUAAGGAGCCAAGAUAUCAGAAGCCUCACCUCUCUUCAAUAUCUAUGUAUUGGUAAUUUAUCUCAAUUUCAGUCAAUGCUAGAAGAAGGGCAGCUCACUUCACUUCAAAGUCUAGACAUCAAUAAUUUCCCUAAUCUCCAAUCACUUUCCGAAUCAGCACUGCCCUCCUCCCUCUCUGAGCUGACCAUCAAUAAUUGCCCUAAGCUCCAAUCCCUUCCAGUAAAAGGGAUGCCCUCUUCCCUCUCUAAACUAUCAAUUCGCGACUGUCCAUUGCUCACACCAUUACUAGAAUUUGACAAGGGGGAAUACUGGCCAAAUAUUGCUCAAAUUCCUACCAUAACGAUCGACGAGGAUUCCAUGUGAUGAUUAAAAAGAAUGACUCUCCAACUGAUGUAACUUAUUCUUUUCCAUCAUAAGCUUUUUACUUUUAUUUACAUCACUUUGCAUUUUUGUUAAUUAUUUUCCUUUUUUAAACCUUUUUGAGCAGUCUAUUGCUCAAACCAUGGCUACUGACCAAAAAUUGCUCAUAUUUCCACCAUAAAUGUUCAUUGGGAGAACCUCCAAUAGAUGUAAGUUUUUCUAUUUCCUUAGUAUCUUUUGAUUUUCGGUUACUUCUCUUUGCUUGUUCCUUAAUUCUUUUUCUAUGUUGCAGAGAUGAAGUCUUGAGGAUAAAAAUAUGUUUUACUCCUCUUGAUAUGCAGAUAUGUUGCAGAGAUGAAGUCGCUGUGAGAUACAUUUAAAGUAUAUCCUGUUUGGGAUGAAUUCAAGGUGAGAUAACAAAAUAAUGAUUUACUCGUGUUUCAGUUACCAAUAUGCUUAUUUUGUUGUAAUAGUUUGCACUCUCAUAAAUCAGCGAAAUAGAUUUCUUCAUUGGCACCCUCAUCAGUCAUCAGUCUGCGAAACAGAGAAAUCAACGGUUUCAAAAUUCUCUAGAACCCAUUUCGAGCUUCACGCCUUCAAUUCUGAUGACACAAAAGACAUCAACAGAGUAGAAGAAUUCAACCCAACUCCCAUAAUGAACCCAAGUUUUCGAUUCCGCUUCACCUGAUGGGAAGAAGUUUACGAGUGAGAAAGGUCUAAAGGUACAAAUAUAUUGUCUUCCCCCUUUCUUAUUGCGGUGCUUAAAUUGGUUUUGCCCCACUUUGCAUCAUAAUGAUGUUGGAGUAUAUCGGUUUUCUACUGGUAUUCAGAUACUUAAAAUGGGAAAUUGCGUUUGAAAAUAUCGUUUUCAUUGUUCGAAUGUUUUUUAAAUCAUCUGUUGAUCCAAAAUUUUCAUUUUUCUGUUGAUCUUCUUCUAUCUUUAGUUUUACAUGUCUUCUGAUUGAGUUAUAAUACAUUCCUUGAUUCUAUAGAAGAUGAGAAAUCGUCAAAUGCCUACAAGUGGAGUCUGCAAAAAGUAGAGUUUACGCAUACUUUAUUCCUACCUUGUCAAUUGAAUAAUAGACUCAAAAUUCAAGUAAUAGAUAGCUGCUUCAGGUCCUCUGGCUACUGCUAUAUUAUAAAAAUGCCUUCUAAAUUCGACAUAUAUAUUCUUUAACUGUAGUUUCUCUUGCAACAACAACAACAAAUCCUUAUGUUUCUAUGACCCUUGAUUCUAAGAUUUUUAUCAACCUUCAAUCUUCAAAAAUUAUCGAUUCGAUCCUUCAGAUGCAUCUCCCUUAACCACUCUGAACCCGGUGGCUUUCCCAUGCAAAGAAAAUUGGCUGAAUCCCGUGAAAUUACUAGCUAGUACCUCUCGACAUCUUUGUAAAAGAGUAGAGAAGUCACGAUCAAGACAAUAGGUGAAUCUCGUGAAAUUAACUUAAAUCUAAUAUAAAAAUAAUAUAACCUUUAACUUGGCCUCAACUCAUAUAUAUGCCCUCCAACUUUGGAUGUGCGCAGGUAGAGACUUAAAUUUGUAUAGAGUUGAAUAAAUAGACACAAACGACCUAAGUGACAUCUUACAUGACAAUUUUCAUCUUACGUGGUGUCUUGUGUGCAUUAUGCCACGUAAGGCACAUGUGUUUAUUUGUUCAAUUUUAUGCAAUUUAAAGUGUCUAUUUGUGCAUACCCAAAGUUGGAGGACACAAAUGUGAAAUGAGGUCAAGUUAAAGGCCAUAUUAUUCAAAUUUCAUAGGGUUUGAAGUUUCAAUUUCAUUGAUGGAUAACGUUACAAUUUUGGUGCAACACAAUGGAACUUGAGAUUCAAACAACCACUAUGACCAAAGAACAAAAAAAACGGUUAACCGAGAGUCCUUGCCCGACAAAAAGCAAGGGUUUGCUUGUAGAAUGGGGGUAGGGCCGACAAUUUUUCUGGAUAGAUCGAACUAUUGGAAGAAAAUAAAAAAGAAAGACCGAGUGUUGUCACAUUGAUGCAAUUCUAGUCAAUUCCAUUUCCAAUUCAUAGAUCUAGUCACAAAUUUACCUUUUUUAUCCUUGGCGGAAUGUAAUGGAUAGUUCUAGAUAUAUGAAGAAAAUGUAUUUAUUAGUGUAAAUUUACUUCUUUACCCUUGGUCUUUCUUUGUCUUCACAUUUCUGUAUAGUAGAAAAGAAAAACACAAGAGGUCAUUUCUAGAUAAUUUAACAUCUAAAAUCAUCCAAACAACGAUCUACCUGGCCUCAACUAUUAGCGAGUUUUAAUUAUUAUUUUUUCUUGAUCGGAUUUUGGUAACGAUAGAUUCUUUGCUUAGUUGGCGAAAGUUUUAUUUCCAAUAUAAAAUGUGAAUUUUGGUGGUAUGUGGUCCCCACUAAAUUAUAGGUCAACUCUUUUUUUCCUUUUUAAAAUAGGAAUAAUACAUAAACAAUUUCUUAGUACACGUUAGAACUUACUAUAUAUGCUUAGAGUAAUUAUUUAAUUCUACACCAUAACUCCACGUUAUUGCCACUAUACCAAAAAGUCAAGCCUCCCAAUUUGAAACCAUCCAUUUAUUCCAACCUAUCCAAUAAAUUAAAGCUUGAGGCAAUCCUCCCAAUUCGAAAAGUCUUUUUCUAAACAUAUGACAUGUAUUUAUUGGUUUAUUGUAAAUAACAAAUACNNNNNNNNNNNNNNNNNNNNNNNNNNNNNNNNNNNNNNNNNNNNNNNNNNNNNNNNNNNNNNNNNNNNNNNNNNNNNNNNNNNNNNNNNNNNNNNNNNNNNNNNNNNNNNNNNNNNNNNNNNNNNNNNNNNNNNNNNNNNNNNNNNNNNNNNNNNNNNNNNNNNNNNNNNNNNNNNNNNNNNNNNNNNNNNNNNNNNNNNNNNNNNNNNNNNNNNNNNNNNNNNNNNNNNNNNNNNNNNNNNNNNNNNNNNNNNNNNNUAGCUGCUUCAGGUCCUCUGGCUACUGCUAUAUUAUAAAAAUGCCUUCUAAAUUCGACAUAUAUAUUCUUUAACUGUAGUUUCUCUUGCAACAACAACAACAAAUCCUUAUGUUUCUAUGACCCUUGAUUCUAAGAUUUUUAUCAACCUUCAAUCUUCCAAAAUUAUUGAUUCGAUCCUUCAAAUAUGUCUCCCUUAACCACUCUGAACCCGGUGGCUUUCCCAUGCAAAGAAAAUUGGCUGAAUCCCGUGAAAUUACUAGCUAGUACCUCUCGACAUCUUUGUAAAAGAGUAGAGAAGUCACGAUCAAGACAAUAGGUGAAUCUCGUGAAAUUAACUUAAAUCUAAUAUAAAAAUAAUAUAACCUUUAACUUGGCCUCAACUCAUAUAUAUGUCCUCCAACUUUGGAUGUGCGCAGGUAGAGACUUAAAUUUGUAUAGAGUUGAAUAAAUAGACACAAACGACCUAAGUAACAUCUUACAUGAAAAUUUUCAUCUUACGUGGUGUCUUGUGUGUAUUAUGCCACGUAAGGCACAUGUGUUUAUUUGUUCAAUUUUAUACAAUUUAAAGUGUCUACUUGUGCAUACCCAAAGUUGGAGGACAUAAAUGUGAAAUGAGGUCAAGUUAAAGGCCAUAUUAUUCAAAUUUCAUAGGGUUUGAAGUUUCAAUUUCAUUGAUGGAUAACGUUACAAUUUUAGUGCAACACAAUGGAACUUGAGAUUCAAACAACCACUAUGACCAAAGAACAAAAAAAACGGCUAACCGAGAGUCCUUGCCCGACUAAAAGAAAGGGUUUGCUGGUAGAAUGGGGUAGGCCGACAAUUUUUCUGGAUAGAUCGAACUAUUGGAAGAAAAUAAAAAAGAAAGACCGAGUGUUGUCACAUUGAUGCAAUUCUAGUCAAUUCCAUUUCCAAUUCAUAGAUCUAGUCACAAAUUUACCUUUUUAUCCUUGGCGGAAUGUAAUGGAUGGUUCUAGAUAUAUGAAGAAAAUGUAUUUAUUAGUGUAAAUUUACUUCUUUACCCUUGGUCUUUCUUUGUCUUCACAUUUCUGUAUAGUAGAAAAGAAAAACACAAGAGGUCAUUUCUAGAUAAUUUAACAUCUAAAAUCAUCCAAACAACGAUCUACCUGGCCUCAACUAUUAGCGAGUUUUAAUUAUUAUUUUUUCUUGAUCAGAUUUUGGUAACGAUAGAUUCUUUGCUUAGUUGGCGAAAGUUUUAUUUCCAAUAUAAAAUGUGAAUUUUGGUGGUAUGUGGUCCCCACUAAAUUAUAGGUCAACUCUUUUUUUCCUUUUUAAAAUAGGAAUAAUACAUAAACAAUUUCUUAGUACACGUUAGAACUUACUAUAUAUGCUUAGAGUAAUUAUUUAAUUCUACACCAUAACUCCACGUUAUUGCCACUAUACCAAAAAGUCAAUCCUCCCAAUUUGAAACCAUCCAUUUACUCCAACCUACCCAAUAACUUGAAGCUUGAGGCAAUCCUCCCAAUUCGAAAAGUCUUUUUCUAAACAUAUGACAUGUAUUUAUUGGUUUAUUGUAAAUAACAAAUACUUUUUCUUUCUCUAAUUACUUGUCCAUUUUUCCUUUUUUAGUUGUCCCUAAUUACUUGUCCAUUUUGACAAAUUAUUUUUACCUAUUAUACCCUCAAUUAAUUACUAUGAAAAAGAUAGAACUUCUUGAAAAUCUUAAAUUUUUAAUUCACCCACUUCAUAAUUUAAUAGGGGUAAAAUGGUAAACUCACUAUGUCAAUUAUUGUUUUCUUAAUAGGUGUGUCAAUUCAAAAGUGGACAAGUAAUUAGGGACAGAGGGAGUACAAUUAAGUUUUCACCUAAUCCCAGUUUGCUUGAUAAUAAUUUACUAUGUGGUGUUUUAGCUCUCACUAUCAAGAGGAACUUUAUCCUAACGAUUCAAGCUUGAAAGCUCUUAUUAAAUAUGAGAAAAUUAUGUGAAUACUUAAUUAAUUAGAUUAUAAUUUAGUAUAGAAACAAAAUAAUGAUUUAACUUUUGCCUAACAUUCUUUCCAUUUUUAGUAUAACUAAUUUCUCAUCACAUGCAUAGCACGUGGAGCUUCGACUUCUGAGUAACAACAAAAACUUGGUUAAACAUAUUUUUUAAAUUACCAAAUUUAAACUACAAAAUAAAGUUUAUUAAUGUUUCUUGAAGAACAUUAUAACAAAUUUACUCCUAUAUAUUUUGACAGACGUUAAUUAGUAAAAAAAAUCAUCCAACACUCUAUUAAUAUUUCUUGAAAAACAUUAUAACAAAUGUGUACUUUUUAAAAUUUUAUUGAAUCUUUACUUAAUAUUUAUAUUGAGUUAAAUAUUAGACAUGGUAGCUUUUGCUUUUAUACCUACUAGUCUUUGGGAACGUGCUUUGCACGUUUGUCCCAUAUUAUUACUAUUAUAAAACUUCUUUAUAUUUUAAAAAUUGAAUUAUAAAAUAGAAAUUGUUGAAAUUUAAAAUAUUAAUUCACUUUCCAUGUUUUCUGAUAGGCACACCAUAUAGUUUAAAUGUGAACAUAAGCAAGGUUGGUUAUGUUUUCAAAUGCUUCACAUCUUAAAAUUUAUGUCAUGACUUUCAGAAACUGGGAAUUCCUCCUCUUAUAGUCGUAUGCAUAACAAGAAGUUGUUGCGAAUGAAAGUAGUAUUUUGUAAAUAUUGAACAAAAAGUUGAUCAAUAUAUGUCUUCUUUAAUAUGGCUAUAAUAUCAUUGUCAAUUUUAUAGAAUACACCUAGUAAUAAAAGUAGUAAUUAUAUUAUGACGAAGAUAAUAAAUUAUUACUGACAUCAAAAAAUUGAAUCAAUAUAUAUUAAUUAUAAUUGCAUGUACAUGUAUAUCCUUUCUUUGAUUCAAGAUUAGGAUUUCUUUAACAUAAGAAUAUUAUUUGUAUGAUUGAAAUAUAAUAAGAAUCAAUCUCUAUUCAAGAACAUUUUCUUUCAUAUGAAAAUUUGACAUAAGAGUAUUACUUGUAUUGUUUAAGUAUAAUUGCAUUAGGAAAUACAAUAAGAAUCAAUCCUUAUUAAAGAACAAGGGACUUGAUAUAAAAAGUUGAAAUAUGUAAAAGAUGUUAAAAAGUAUAAGAUCUAAAUAUCCUGAAAAUUAUACAGAUAAUUUCUCAAAUCUAAAAAAUCUUAUUUCUAUAUUACGUUUCCUACAAACUAUAUUUUAUGUAUGUGAAAUAAUAAAAUUGAUAAAAAGAGAGUUGUAAAUAGCAUAUCCAGUAUGUACCGGAUGAUGAGAAGUGAAGAGCACACAGUUUCCAAACAAAAUCUGAAAUGAAGAGAAAUAAAUAAGAAUUAGUUAGCAAACUCAAGGAAAUCUUCAUAUAUUAAAUAUAUAUUGUUGAGAACUAAAAUGAGCAUAAGAGGAAUAAAGUAGUUACCAAUCAACAAUAUAUAUUUAUAUAUUUAAACUUUUAUGGCAUAUAGCUGCUAAUCUAUAUAUAUUAUAUAAAGCUUAAAGAUGAAAGAUUAAUGUGACUUGAGUUGUAUAAAAUCACUGCACAUGCACUAUAUAUUACUCCAAUUCUAUUUGACAAGGAACAUGAAAAGUUCACAUAACCGUUGGAAGCUCAAGGGAAAAAAUAGUAAAUGUGAGAUAUGAAAUAGUAGGAUUGUAAAUUGAGUUUAAGUAAUCUGUAUUAGGUUAAUUAAUGGGGAGAUGAAAAGAUUUUAUCAAUUAAAUGUAGUUAAAUUACUGAUAAAUAACUUUUUUUUAAAUGAUAAAAUGAUUACUCAACUUUUAACUAUUUAAUAUUUUAUUAUUUACAUGUUUUAUAACAUUUUUAUUUAGUCUAGGGGCAAAAUGAUAAUCCAACUUUGAAUGUUGGAGCUUCCCACUUAUAAUAAUAAUAUAUGAUUAUUAUCAAGGUAUGUGGUCCCCACCAAACUAUAGGUCAACUCAUUUUCCCCCUUUUAAAAAUAGGAAUAAUACACGUUAGAACUUAAUAUAAGCUUAGAAUAAUUAUUUAAUUCUACACCAUAACUCCACGUUAUUGCCUCUAUACAAAAAAAAAGUCAAUCCUCUCAAUAUAGCUUGAGGCAAUCCUCCCAAUUUGAAAAGUCUUUGCGUGAACAUAUGUCAUGUAUUUGUUAGUUUAUUGUAAAUAACAAAUACAAAUAAGUUUUCACGUAAUCUAAAUUUGCUUGGAAUGUUUUAGCUCGCACUAUCAAGAGAAACUUUAUCACAACGAUUCAAGCUCGAAACUUCUAAUUAAAUACGACAAAAUUAUAUAUAUAAAGAAAAUUAUAUAUAACAAAACAACUACAAGGGAGAAAUUUUAAUCAUUUCACUGUACCUCUUGAUGUUAUCAAAUUCCCAACUUGACAUGUUUUCAAGUAUAAAAAAAUAUUAUGAAGACAAAGUCUUGUUGGGGGGAAAAGUCAUACUCAUGGAAAAGACAGCUUAAAUUUAUUUAUUUUCCUAUAGCUGUCACUGUAGAAAACUAUUGUUGUACCAUUCUUGUUUGCAAAUCACUCUUAGCAUUCAACAGGUAAAGUAAACUUGUUAGUAAUUGAACAUACAAACAUUUUAUCUUUCUCUAAACUAUUGUUCUCACUUUACUUGUUUUGUUUUGCAGAUUUCAGAAAUGGAGAUUGGGUUAGCAGUUGGUGGUGCAUUUCUCUCUUCAGCUUUGAAUAUUCUCUUUGAUAGGCUUGCUCCUCAUGGUGAUCUGCUCAACAUGUUUUGGAAGCAUAAGGAUCAUGUUCAGCUUUUACACAAGCUGCAGGACAUUUUGCUUGGUCUUCAGAUUGUGCUAAGUGAUGCAGAGAAUAAACAAGCAUCAAAUCGACACGUGAGCCAGUGGCUUCAUAAGUUUCAGAGUGCUGUAGACGGCGCUGAAAACUUGAUAGAAGAAGUCAAUUAUGAAGCUUUGAGGCUUAAGGUGGAAGGCCAGCAUCAAAAUCUUGCAGAAACAAGCAAUAAACAAGUAAGUGACCUUAACCUGUGCUUGACUGAUGAAUUUUUCCUUAACAUAAAGGAGAAGUUGGAAGAAACCAUUGAAACAUUGGAGGUGUUGGAAAAGCAAAUUGGUCGCCUUGGCUUAAAGGAUCAUUUUGGUUCGACUAAACAAGAAAUUAGAACACCUUCAACUUCUUUGGUUGAUGAUUCUGGUAUCUUUGGAAGGCAGUAUGAUAUAGAGAAUUUGGUUGGUCGUUUAUUGUCUAAGAAUACAAAGGGAAAUAAUCUGGCUGUAGUUCCUAUUGUUGGAAUGGGCGGCCUGGGUAAGACAGCACUUGCUAAAGCGGUUUACCAUGAUGAGAGGGUGAAGAACCAUUUUGGUUUGAAAGCUUGGUAUUGUGUUUCUGAGCCAUAUGAUGCUUUGAGAAUAACGAAAGGGUUACUUCAAGAAAUUCACUCAUUUGACUCAAAGGAUGUCCACAACAAUCUUAAUCAGCUUCAAGACAAAUUGAAGGAAAGCUUAAAGGGAAAGAANNNNNNNNNNNNNNNNNNNNNNNNNNNNNNNNNNNNNNNNNNNNNNNNNNNNNNNNNNNNNNNNNNNNNNNNNNNNNNNNNNNNNNNNNNNNNNNNNNNNNNNNNNNNNNNNNNNNNNNNNNNNNNNNNNNNNNNNNNNNNNNNNNNNNNNNNNNNNNNNNNNNNNNNNNNNNNNNNNNNNNNNNNNNNNNNNNNNNNNNNNNNNNNNNNNNNNNNNNNNNNNNNNNNNNNNNNNNNNNNNNNNNNNNNNNNNNNNNNNNNNNNNNNNNNNNNNNNNNNNNNNNNNNNNNNNNNNNNNNNNNNNNNNNNNNNNNNNNNNNNNNNNNNNNNNNNNNNNNNNNNNNNNNNNNNNNNNNNNNNNNNNNNNNNNNNNNNNNNNNNNNNNNNNNNNNNNNNNNNNNNNNNNNNNNNNNNNNNNNNNNNNNNNNNNNNNNNNNNNNNNNNNNNNNNNNNNNNNNNNNNNNNNNNNNNNNNNNNNNNNNNNNNNNNNNNNNNNNNNNNNNNNNNNNNNNNNNNNNNNNNNNNNNNNNNNNNNNNNNNNNNNNNNNNNNNNNNNNNNNNNNNNNNNNNNNNNNNNNNNNNNNNNNNNNNNNNNNNNNNNNNNNNNNNNNNNNNNNNNNNNNNNNNNNNNNNNNNNNNNNNNNNNNNNNNNNNNNNNNNNNNNNNNNNNNNNNNNNNNNNNNNNNNNNNNNNNNNNNNNNNNNNNNNNNNNNNNNNNNNNNNNNNNNNNNNNNNNNNNNNNNNNNNNNNNNNNNNNNNNNNNNNNNNNNNNNNNNNNNNNNNNNNNNNNNNNNCUCUAAGCAAGAGGGUGCAGCAUAACAUACUGCCAAGACUAAGAUCCUUGAGGGCAUUAUCAUUGUCUCAUUACAAGAUUAAGGAGUUGCCAAAUGACUUAUUUAUCAAAUUAAAGCUCCUCAGAUUUUUGGAUAUUUCUCGGACAGAGAUUAAAAGGUUGCCAGAUUCCAUUUGUGUGUUGUAUAACUUAGAGACACUUCUCCUGUCAUCUUGUGAUUAUCUUGAGGAGCUACCACUGCAGAUGGAGAAGUUAAUCAACUUGUGUCAUCUUGACAUAAGCAACACUUCUCUCUUGAAGAUGCCACUAUAUCUGAGCAAGUUGAAAAGCCUCCAAGUGUUAGUGGGAGCCAAGUUUCUUUUAGGUGGUUUGAGAAUGGAAGAUUUGGGUGAAGCACAGAACUUGUAUGGAUCUCUAUCAGUUGUAGAGUUGCAAAAUGUGGUUGAUAGUCGGGAAGCUGUGAAGGCAAAGAUGAGGGAGAAGAAUCAUGUUGACAAGUUAUCUUUGGAGUGGAGUGAAAGUAGUAGUGCCGACAAUUCAGAAACUGAAAGAGACAUACUUGAUGAACUACGCCCACAUAAAAACAUAAAAGAAGUCGAAAUCACUGGAUAUAGAGGGACAAAAUUUCCAAAUUGGCUAGCUGAUCCUUUGUUUCUUAAGCUGGUGGAAUUAUCUCUUAGCAACUGCAAGGUCUGUUAUUCCUUGCCAGCACUAGGAGAACUCCCUUGUUUGAAAUUCCUUUCGAUUAGAGGGAUGCAUGUAAUAACAGAUGUGAUGGAAGAAUUCUAUGGUAGUUUGUCCUCAAAAAAGCCUUUUAACUCUCUUGUGGAGCUUAGAUUUGAAGAUAUGCCGGAGUGGAAGCAAUGGCACCUACUAGGAAGUGUAGAGUUUCCUAUCCUUGAGAAGCUUUUCAUUAAAAAUUUCCCUGAACUCAGUUUGGAGACACCCAUCCAAUUUUCAAGUUUAAAAAGGUUUCAAGUUGUUGGUUCUUCUAAGGUUGGAAUUGUUUUUAAUGAUGCUCAACUGUUUAGAUCCCAACUUGAGGGAAUGAAGCAGAUUGAAGAAUUAUAUAUUAGUGAUUGUAACUCUAUUACCUCCUUACCUUUUAGCAUACUGCCCACUACCUUGAAGAGAAUAAGGAUAUCUGGUUGCCGGAAUUUGAAAUUGGAUCCGCCAGUUGGUGAGAUGAGUAUGUUUCUCGAGGAAUUGAAUCUGAAGGGAUGUGAUUGUAUAGAUGAGUUGCUCCCAAGAGCGCACAAAUUGAGAAUUUGGAGUUGCCAGAACCUUACUAGGUUUUUGAUUCCAACUGCGACUGAAAUACUCAAUAUUUGGAAUUGUGAGAAUCUUGAAAAACUUUCAGUGGCAUGUGGGGGGACCCAGAUGACGUGUUUGAAUAUUUGGGACUGUAAGAAGCUGAAGUGGCUGCCAGAACGUAUGCGGGAACUCCUUCCAUCUCUUAAGGAACUACAUUUGUGGGAUUGUCCAGAAAUAGAGUCCUUUCCUGAAGGAGGAUUGCCCUUCAAUUUACAAGCCCUUCGGAUCAAAUAUUGCAAGAAACUGGUGAAUGGGCGAAAGGAGUGGCGUUUACAGAGACUCCCCUGUCUCAAAAAGGUAACCAUCUUACAUGAUGGCAGUGACGAAGAGAUUGUUGGUGGUGAGAAUUGGGAGUUGCCUUCCUCUAUUCAAAGACUUUUUAUAGAGAAUCUGAAAACAUUAAGCAGCCAACAUCUCAAAAGCCUCACCUCUCUUCAAUCUCUACGUAUUGGGGGUAAUUUACCUCAAAUUCAGUCAAUGUUGGAACAAGGCCAGUUUUUGCACCUCACUUCGCUUCAACGUCUACAAAUCAUUGAUUUCCCUAAUCUCCAAUCUCUUCCAGUAAAAGGGAUGCCAUCUUCCCUCUCUACACUAGAUAUUCGUGACUGUCCAUUGCUCACACCACUACUAGAAUUUGACAAGGGGGAAUACUGGCCAAAUAUUGCUCAUAUCUCCACCAUAAAGAUCAAUGAGAAAUGCCUUUAAUGAUUAAAACAAAUGGUGCUCUCACAAAUGUAAGUUUUUCUUUUUCCUCAUAAGCAUUCUUUUUUCUUUAACUUCCUUUGCUUUUAUGUUAAUUCUUUUUCUUUAUUACAUUCUCGUUGCGCAGUAUGGAGUGUCUAUUGCCACUCUGAAACUGAGAAAUCAUCUUCAGAUUAUAAUUAUUUUAAUUUUAGAUCUCAUUAGCAAUUAAUGUUACAUAUCUUACUCGAAGAUUUUUAUCGCUUGAACUUUCAUCUCAAUAGCAAUUCAUGUGUUCUUAUUAUUUCCCUUUUCAGUCAGUUUAGAGUCAUCCACAUGUCCACUAUCGAAUUCAAAACUAUAAUAGAAUCCAAAGGUGUACCAUACACAAGAUUUGUUUCCUAUGUAUCAAAAAUACAAAUGUUUGCCUCCCAAUAAAUUUAACACCUAAAAGCAUCAGCACUAUUCAGGUUUUUAUUAAUGAUUCAGCCCCAUCAUAGAGAUCGAUUGGGAAUACAUGUGAUGAUUAAAACAGAUGGCUCUCCAACUGAUGUAAGUUAUUCUUUUCCAUCAGAAGCUUUUUAUUUUUGUUUACUUCACUUUGAUUUUUUGUUGAUUCUUUUCCUUUUUAAAACCUUGUUGAGCAGUGUGGAAUGUCUAUUGCUCAAGAAAGUUGAUUGCUUAAUAUAUGUUAGCAGGAUGUCAUCACCUUUGGAGAUAAAGGGUCCAAGAAAUACAACCUCACUUUCUCAAUCAGGUAGCCAACACCUUGAUAAGAGUUACAUCAAGCUUCAAAUUUAAAGAAAGUGAAAACAACUUAAAUUGCCUGAUUCCAUUAUUGACGUCAUGUUGUACCACAUUGAUUUCAAGUUUGAUGCGACUGCAUUAUUACAUCAGUUUUUUUUUCAUAUUCAAAGAUCCAGAAUAUUACAUUAGUUUUUUGGUUUUGAUAUGCAGAGAACUUUGAGGAUUAUGAAGUUUCCUUCAAAUUAUGUCCGUUACUCAACCUCGAGUGGCACCUUACAGCUAGUGGGAAGUCAAGAAAGUAUAUCCUGCUCGGAAUGAAGUCAAGGUUAGAUAAUUAAAUAAUGAUUUACUGGUGUUUCAGUUACUAAGAUGCUUAUUUUGUAGUAAUAGUUUGCACUCUCAUAAAUCAGCGAAAUAGAUUUCCUUCAUUGGCACUCUCAUCAGUCAUCAAUCAGCGAAACAGAGAAAUCAACGGUUUCAAAAUUCUCUGGAACCCAUUUCAAGCUUCACGCCUUCAAUUCUAAUGACACCCAAGACACAGAAGACAUCAACAUAGUAGAAGAAUUCAACCCAAUACCCAUUUCAACCCAAGUUUUCGAUUCCUGCUUCACCUGAUGAGAAGAAGUUUAUGGGUGAGAAAGUUACAAAGCUGAAAAUAUCUUCUUCUAUCUUUUGUUUUACACAUCUUCUGAUUGAGUUAUAAUACAUGCCUCGCUUCUAUACAAGAUGAGAAACCAUAAAAUGCCUUUAUGAAGUGUUUGCGAAGUUGAUGUCACCUAAUUCAGAUUUCACUGAAUUAAUUUUUGAACCAAAUUAAUGCAUAUGUUUGCUCUAACGUUGAAAAGGAAAAACGUUGAAUGAUAUGGAUAUUUUCCUUUUAAGAAUACAAAGUCGCGAUAAAGGUAGAAAAUUUAGAUGGUAUUAAUUUUGAUAUGGAUCACCGUUGAGAACUUUGCCUGAGGUAUUAAAUUCUAUUUUCCCUCUUUAGAAAUGUUUCAUGUAGCUCCUAAUUGUGAUGCUUCAUUUACAUAUUUUUAAAAUUUGAUCAUAUAACAGGGAUAGAGUGUGUCCGAGUCAAUUUGAUGUUACAGACUUGCAGCUAACUGUUGUGCGUUAUAUAAUUGCAUAUUUCUUAGACACCAGAUAUGACCAAGUUCCAUCUACAAUGUUAACAGAAUCUUUGAUAGGUAAAGGAGGCAGACAAAAAAGCUAAACAUCUUUUUUCUUCCGUAUAGCUCCCAGGCAACUACACAAGGCAAUGCUUGAUAUAAGGGCUUUAGAUAUACAUUUGCAGGGUGUUUAUCGUAUGAGUAAGGAAAUCACUGUCUUCGCUCCCAGCAGACAGUGAUUGGAAGAUCCAUCCUCGCAUCACUUAGCACCUUCCAGCAGGCAAGCCUUUUUUUAAAAAAAUCUUCUCUUGCAUAUACUUUUGCAAUUUUAAACUUCAUUUUGAAUUGUGUUGUUGCUAACUUAAACAUGUUUGUGCUUAAUCAGAUGUGGAUUUUGAAGGGCUGUUGACACCCAAUUUUGACCCUCCCUGAUAAUAAUUAAUUUUCGAGCUUUUUAAAUUUCAAACAAUUUAAAAUAAUUAGCCUUGUAAAAUCCAAUUGGUUUCAAGAUUAUUUUAAGUAAUUUUCGUAGAUUUCUAUAGUAGUUUGAAUAAUAAAUAUAUUUUACAUAAUUAUUUAUGUAUUUAGUAUAUUUUAUAAAUGGUUGAAAUCCAUAUCAAAUGAUUUUUACAGUGUUAAAAUAAGUAGUUUAUUAAUUUGGUUUUAGUGUGAGUUAUAGUUUGAAUUUUGAACUAAUUAGUUUAUAUUUAAAUCAAUUACUUUGUAAUCAAGUUAGUUAUUUUAUUUUGUAUAGAUUAAGAAGCUCAUUAAUUAAUUUAUAUAAUUUCAUCUUGUCGAGCUUUUGGCCGAAUUCACAAAUCAAUUUCCAACCGGUUAAAUUUUCAACCUCAAUUGAUCAUAAUUUUAAUCGUAAUCCCUUUUUUUUUUAUUUCUAAGCUUGGUUCUUUUAUUUUUGCAAUCCAGCAGCCCAAACACUUAAAAAACAACCCAUCCCAAACACCAAUUUUCAGCUUCAAUUCCCAACCCAAUAAUUCCUGUGACCAAGCCCAAUUUCCCCUUUAACCCGGCCCACCCCAAUUCUAAAAGAAAUCAAUACAAUCCAAUGUUCCCUUUUUUUUCCUCUGUCAACGCAUCAAAUUCACGGCAACAACGACAAUCCCAAGCGGCGUGAGCAACAAUUCCUAAACGACACCAACAACAGCGUACAAACGACGCCCUAAAGUCCAUCAACUCACGGCGAUUCACGGAAAGCUCACGGCGCGAGAAAACGCGUGCCUAGUACAACAACAUACUGCUAUCCGUCGCCCUCUUCGCUGCAACAGUGCAGUUGCAGCAGCUGCUGUAACAGCGCAGGGUGUCCUUGAGGACGUAGGAUCGAGACACGUAGCAUCUCAAGGACAUCAAAUUGAUUGAAGUCGUCCAUCGCCCUUUCUCCUUCCGGAAUGAGACGAAUUUUCAAAGAAAAGGUGUCGUCCCAAAACGGGAAAAGAAUUUUUUGAAUUUGGAAUGGGCCUCGUUUCACCCGUUCUUUGCCCUAAUUUGAGGGAUAAAUAGUUCCGGAUCCUUCAGGUUUUAGGCAGGAUUUUCAGUUGCUGGAAAGGAAGAUAUAUAAACAUAAGAAUACAUAUAUAAAUGGAGAGCGAUAUUUAGGCAAAAGUCGACAAGAAAUUUGAUUCUUGUGUUCGCCUCUUGCAAGGCUCGUCGGAAUCUCGUUGUGGUAUUGGAGUUGCUGUUUCUCUGCUCGUGGUUCUCGGUUUCGCUGCACCCUUGAAGGUAACACUCAUCUCUCUUCAAGCAUAUCUUGCUCAUAAUGUGUCGUCGCUUGAUUCUUAAUGCGUGAGCCGUCUGCGUGAUAAUGUUUGGAGAAUACUUCGACUCAUUGCUUAUCAUAAAUCAGUAUGUAGCUGGUUUGUCUGCUUCUGGACACUGAUAAGAGUUGAGUUUUUCCGCCUCAUUUGUCUAUUGCUGCAUCUGUUGAUUUAUGUUGGUUAUAUUGUGACCUGGACUUUUGCAAAUGUAUUGGAAUAUUGGGUUUUUAUUGUUAUUACUCUUAUUGUCCUAGUUUUUCUAUAACACCUCUAUGAUCGGUUUCAAAAUUCCUAUUAAUCUUAUUCUGUGUCUAUUUGUUGUAAAUAUGCUUAUGGCUCAGGUUCUAGUGGCAAAUCGUAAUGUAUGCUUCAUGUUUAUUUGGAUUUGUUCACUUCGAUUUAAUAAUGAAACUUGUCAAAAAUCGGUGCUUACCUUAGCCCAUAGGUUGUUAUCUCCGAUAAUCUUAUGUUGCUAUUCAGGGGUCAAGCGUGUCGAAUUAUUAGCAGUCUAUCUAGCUAACGGUGUUCAUCAUAAGUAGCGGUUAUAUUCUUCUCAGAUAGUAGCUUAAGCUUUAACUGAUUUUUACUACUUUAGCAUGAUAUAACUCACCAAAUAUUUGAGGAAUCAGAUUAUUUCCCUUGGAUUUUCACUGAUGGUUGGCCCGUACUUGAGUUACUGUAAGUAGAACAUUUGGUCACGACUCGUUAGCUUAUCCACCAUAUAUUUAAUUCUUCCUGCAAAUAUUCAAAUGCUUGUCCUAUAUAAAAAAAUAAUAAUAUAUAUAUAUAUAUAUAUAUUAAUUUCUAUCCAUUAGUUUAUAGUGUUAUUUCCAGUGAAGUCCUUGAAUAUGCAUUUUAGUUGUUUGUGCUAGUAGCUGUUCAAUUAAAUAAUCUUUUUAUGUCUCAUAGUUUGAUGAAUCCAUGGCUGUUUACUGCUUCUUCGUUAGUAAAAUCGCUUAAUGAUGAUCAUGAAUUACUCAUGUUAAUUCUUUCCUUCCACUUUCCUUACAUGUGAUGCUUCGCCGAGUCUAUUUGGACUUUUCCCAUUGCCUCUUUGCAUUUUCGAGUAUCGAGUCAGCCCUCCGAUGUUCAAGAGUGAAAUGGAAUUGGCGUACAGGUGUUUGGAGCUGAUAUACGGGAUUGUAUACAUUAGUAUACACCUAGUGUAUACGAAAAAAUGAAAAAUGGGCAUAAAGUAGCCUUAAAUUUUCAGCUUUUGUAUUUUUGUAAUUAUUGGACUAAAAGCCCAUUUAUUUUGAUUAUUAUUGUGUUAGUUUAGGACAGGUACCAAGUGUUGGGCCAAAAGCCCCAAAAGCAGAAAUCAGGCCCAAGUAUUGGUCCAGGCGAACAAAAAAAAAAAAAAAAUCCAAACUUGGGCCCAACUCUCUUUCCCUCUUUACUUUAUUGUGUUCAUUUACUUACUAGUAUUUGUCGUUAGUCUUAAGGUCGAAAAAUUCAAAUCCCCGAAAAACGUCUAUUUUGAUUUAAUAAUUUAACUAAACCAGUCAUCUCUUAAACAAGACUUAAAGGAAUAAUUUUGCAGGAUAGCUCACUUAGACAAUAUUUAAAUAUUUCCUCUUUUCCCCCUUUAAAAAUAAGUUUUAACUAUAAAAUAGAUCAAUUUCGCAAGUCAAGCUAAGUUAAAAUUAUUUUAGUCAAGUAGUUAAUCGUCGGAUAACCACAUUAGUGGAUAUUUUAGGUGUCUUUAAAACCAUCCUAGAAUAUUAAUAAGAACCUCGAACCCCCCUUUUAAAAUUUUCAUUAGAUUCCAUGUUUUAAUCUUUUGAAAAAAUAGUUUUCUUGAUUUUUCUUAAAAAUUAAGUGGCGACUCUAAACCAGUCCAAAAUAAUAUUUUCUUAAAUAAAACAAGGGCGAGUACGACAAAUCUGGUCCAUCCAUUGUCCACAAGAAGUGCUUCUAAGGUGUUGCUGCUAUUUUUACAUUUGUUCGCGAGUUCUUUUUUAUUUUUUUUGUUCUUUCUGCUAAAGCUAUUAUGUCAUCCACAGUGAACUCAGGUCUGCUGUUAUAGGCAAGUCAUCGAGAUGGGGCUAUCAAAGAAGGGUGAUUAAAAACAUUGUACCGCUGAUACUAUUUCAUGUUUCCAGUGCAAGCCUCUUUUGUAAGUUGACAAACUCGAUUUGUAAAUAUGUUUGGGACUCAACUAGUGGUUAGAGUAUUGAUUUUGUAAGAUUUUUGUCCAGAAAAUCAAAUUAGAAAGAUUACUCGCGAUGAUUGAAUAAGCUCGAAGAAGUGGAUUUGAAUUUCAAUUCGUGUCUUUUUUUUAUGUGUGUGUGUG
rnacentral:lncRNA from 1 species